rnacentral:lncRNA from 1 species
GACGAUGAAGAUGAUGAUGAUGAUGAGGAUGAUGACUGAGAUUUGUGUGCAGAACUUAAUAUGAUGUUUCACUGGUGGGGGAAGCUAUUAUAUAUUUUGUCUGUGCAUGGUAGGCUACUUUGGAUAUUUGUGCUGGUAGAAAAUGUGUCUUCUGUUACUGGCAUGAUAUUUUGCUAGCUACUUGAGCUUCCCUCAGUGGUUAGUUAUUGUGCUUAGACUCUCUUUCGGUACUGUGCCUUAAAAUGUGUUGGCUGAAGUGAUAUAAUUUCCUUUUUGAUAAAUGCAUUGGCAUAAUUGUAUAUGGUGAAGUGGCAUACUCUUCAUGUACAUAUGGAACAUCGUAUGCAUGAACUUAACCAUUUUAAUCUCUCUAGCUGUCCAUUGAAGUGCUUGAAGCAAAUGCGAUUCAAAAGAGAAGUUGGAAUAACCUCUCAUUUUCUUGUUAUGAUAUAUUUAUACUGAUGUUGCUUUGGGUCAUGGUUAUCUAUUUAUUUUUCUGUUUAUUCAAAUUGUUUAGAUAAUAUGCAUCAUGAGUUGGUUGCUGCAGGAUUAAAUGAAAGACGUAUUACAACACAUAUAGUCCUACACCAUCCCCUUGUACACUCUUAACCAUGUUUGUGCAAUUGCCUGGAAUAAAAUAGUAGAGUGAUCCAAAGUAUUGACCUAGAAAUUUAAUAAGUAUUUUCUUUAGAUAAAAAUUAAUAAGUAUUUUCUUUAGAUAAAAAUUAUGAUGGAAUAAUUUGAACUGCAUCGGUUUAAUUUAAGGGUAGGUUCUGAUGUCUAGCUGUUGUGUAGUCUACCAUACGUGGAGAUUACAAGGAGUUUGUCGGGGAUAAGAGGUCUUUUGAUACUUCUUUCUUGAGUCUUUGUUAGUGCGUAUAUUUAUGGAUCUUUAUGUUUUCGAAGGAUAACCUUAAUUUAUGGUUGAUUCACUACUGUGAUCCUGAAAAUCGGGGGUGUUACAUUGAGUCUUUUCAUUUUAGACUAUCACCUUCGUGGAAAGUCUUUGCAUGUUAGGCUUCAUUUUCUAACUUCUUCUCUUGGUCAGCUCCAAACUUCUUUGAUCAACUUGAGUAGCUUGGCCCAAAUUCCAAAGUGACCUUCUUGGCGUUGGCGUAACUUCAUUUUAGCAUGAGUUGAUCAAAGUCUUCUUCCCGUAAGUCUUUCUUUUGAGAGAUUCCUGCAAUCAAUUCUUUAAAGCGAUACUAACUACAAAAACUGAAAUGUGUUAUCAUCAAAGCUUGACAUAGGGAUACUAGGUUCCGACACUUUGAAGACUUUGCUCUAGAUGUGCAUCUUAUAAACCAACCUUAUUGAUAUUUCAAUGAGGACAAAGAAUUAAACACUCCACAUAUCUACAAGUAGAAGCAAAAUCAAAGGCUCGGGGAGCUUUAAAAAAAUUGUGAGUUGAUUAAGUUAAAUUGAUAAAUAGAGGUUUAUCAAAUAAUACAUUAUAUCAAUUCACAUAAUCAAGAGAAUCAAUUAUACACACCAAAUGAAAUAAAGAUAAGAGAUUGGUCUCAGUGAGUUCGGCCUUUUGAGAAGGGUUACUAUAUUUAGCUAUAUUGCAUGAAAACUCCUUAAAUCAAAACCAAAAAACAAGGAAACCUUUGGGAAUUGAGACUUUUGGAACCUUAAUUUAAUUUCAAUGAAAUGAGUGUAUAGUAUUGGACUAUGCUGACAAUGAAGCAUGUAUUUACAAAUCUAAAUUUUGAAUGACCUUCUACACUAGGUGGCAAUCACCAAUUGUGACGAUCUGACAUGAAUAUAAGGUCUUGCUACGAGAGGCAAUUUUUCUGUGUACAUAAAUAGCCUUUUCAAAUUCUCCUUGUUGAUUGAAGCCAAGUCAUCUAUCUCACUGCUCCUCAUGUAUAUCCAAAGGUCACCAGAGUUUACUCUUUUAAGACUGUCCCGGCAGAAAGGGCAAGAUUGAGAUCUUGCAUGCCUAAACCAACAAAAUAAAUAAGAAUCCUUAAAAGUGAAGAAGCUAACUUUUAUUGGAUAUCUAAAUGCUAUAGCAGUAAUAUAACUCGCUUCUCUUUUCUCAGAAUCAAAUAUGAUACACAGAAGCUACUUACACAAACUUCUCAGAAUUGAUUUUGGCUUUAGAAUCAUAUAUAGAAAGUAUUGGAAAAUAAUAGGUAAAUGCUGUUCUGUUUUAUUCCUCAGCCAAAGGCUGGUAUUUAUAGAGAGGAUACAAUUAUUACUCCUUGAAUUAAGGAGAGAAUUACUACUCCUUGAAUUAAGGAGAAAAUUAUUACAUAUAAAAAAGUCAAUAAUAGAAUCUCUAGAAUUGACUGGAAAACAAUAAAUACUGAUAUAUUUUCCAACACCCCCCCUCAAGUUGGUGCAUAGAUAUCUAUCAUGCCCAACUUGCCUAUCAAAUGCUCAAAGGUAGGUCUUGCCAAGCUCUUGGUCAGGAUAUCCGCAGUUUGCUGACUCGAAGUCACAAAAGGUAGACAUAUGAUUCCAGCAUCUAACUUCUCCUUUAUGAAAUGUCGAUCAAUCUCAAUAUGCUUGGUUCUGUCAUGUUGAACUGGGUUAUGAGCUAUGCUAAUAGCAGCUUUACUGUCGGAGUAUAAUUUCAAUGGAAGCUCAAUUUUCAUCUUAAGUUCUUCUAGGACUCUAUGAAUCCAUAAUCCUUCACAAAUACCUUGAGCCAUAGCUCUAAACUCAGCUUCUGCACUACUUCUUGCCACAACUCCUUGUUUCUUGCUCCUCCAUGUCACAAGAUUACCCCAAACAUAGGUACAAUAUCCAGAGGUUGAUCUUCUAUCUGUGACUGAGCCUGCCCAAUCAGCAUCGGUGAAGAUAGACACAUUUCUUUCACUAGUCUUCUUAAAAAAUAAGCCUUUUCCGGGAUUUCCCUUCAAAUAUCUCAGUAUCCUAUAGACUGCCUCAAGAUGUUCCUCAAGAGGAGAAUGCAUGAACUGACUCACUACACUAACUGAGAAAGCAAUAUCAGGUCGAGUGUGUGACAAAUAAAUCAGUUUCCCAACCAAUCUUUGGUAUCUUCCAGUAUCAACGGGAACACUUCCUUCUUCCCAAAGUUUAGCAUUAGGAUCCAUAGGGGUAUCUGCUGGACGACAUCCACUCAUUCCUGUUUCUUUCAAUAAGUCUAGAAUGUAUUUCUGCUGUGAAACCACAAUACCAUUCUUUGAUCGAGCAACCUCCAUUCCAAGAAAAUAUCUCAUGGGUCCUAAGUCCUUGAUUUCAAAGUCUACUGCUAAUUUCUCUUUUACUCUUGCCAUUUCAACUGUAUCAUCUCCAGUAAGGACAAUAUCAUCAACAUAAACAAUCAGGGCAGCAACUUUCCCAUCGUGGGAGAAUUUUGUGAAUAAGGUGUGGUCAGCCUGUCCUUGAAUGUACCCUUGUUUCUUCAUGGACUGAGUGAAUUUUUCAAACCAAGCUCUAGGGGACUGCUUUAAUCCAUACAAAGACCUAUUUAGUUUGCAUACAUUUGGUCCAAAUUUGCUUUCAAAGCCAGGAGGAAUCUCCAUAUAUACUUCUUCUUCUAGAUCACCAUUAAGAAACGCAUUCUUAACAUCCAAUUGAUGUAGGGGCCAAUCCAGGUUGGCAGCAAGAGAUAAGAGAAUUCGGACAGUGUUCAAUUUUGCAACAGGAGCAAAUGUCUCUGAGUAGUCUAUACCAUAGGUCUGAGUAAAGCCCUUCGCCACCAAGCGAGCCUUGUACCUUUCAAUUGACCCAUCUGAAUUAUACUUCACAGUAAACACCCAUUUGCAUCCAACUGUCUUCUUGCCAUCUGGUAGUGUCAUAACACUCCAAGUUUUGUUCUUUUCAAGAGCUUUCAUCUCCUCAAGUACAGCUUCCCUCCACUUUGGAAUUUCUAGAGCAACCUGGACAUUUUUUGGAAUUUCUACACUAGACAAUUUUGAGGUGAAGGCAGACAGAGAUGAAGACAAAUUUGAAUAUGAUAUAAAAUUGGAAAUAGGGUGUUUAGUGCAAGAUCUAACAGGUUUUCUAAUGGCAACAGGAUCAUCUAUAUCAGGAUACAAAAUACGACUCUCAGAAACAGAGAUAGACUUACCUUUCAUUUUCUUAGGAGGUUGAUCAUUCCCCGGUUCAGAUUCCUGACAGUGUUGAGAUGUGGACUCAUUCCUUUCUUUGUGGUGCUUUUUCACAUAAACCUUCCCUUUCCAAGUCCUGUUUCCUACUUCAAAUCUGUUCUCUUUAAGUGACUCAUUAUUUUGUGGCAUUUUAAUUAGAUCAUCAUCAUCCCUAUUGUCAAGAUUCUCAUUGGUUUCUUCAUGAGAAAAUGUAGGCUCUGAUUCCCCAAGUUCCUUACUCAUAACAGGAGUAGGAUCAGAUAGAGUAUCUUGACCAUUUUCUGUUGGUGCAGAACUAUAAGUCUUAGAGCUUUGUGGUACAGGCAAAGAUAAUUUAUUUAAAAAACUCAUGUCCUCAAUUUGAAACGAGUCUUCCUUUAUAUCCCCCCCUUGAAGAUGAGUGUCAUUAAAAAAAGGUUUAUUUUCAAAAAACGUAACGUCCAUAGUGACAAACAUUUUCUUGUUUUUUGGAUCAAAACAUUUAUACCCCUUUUGGGUUGGGGAGUAUCCAACAAAAACACAUUUUAUAGCACGUGGUUCAAGUUUUCCAACAUUUUUAUGUUCAUGAACAAAGGCUAUGCAACCAAAGAUUUUUAAUGUCAAAUCAGUUGAAACACGAGUACUAGGAAAACAUUCUUUGAAAGUAUUAAUUGGAGUUUGGAAAUUGAGAACUUUGGAGGGCAUUCUAUUAAUUAAAUAUGCCGCUGUUAAAACAGCUUCGCCCCACAAAUAGUUUGGUACUUUACUUGAGAAAAGUAAUGCUCUAGCAACCUCCAAUAAAUGUCUAUUUUUUCUUUCAGCAACUCCAUUUUGUUGAGGGGUAUUAGGACAUGAACUUUGAUGUACAAUCCCAUUUUUUAGGAAAAAAUCAUCCAAACUAGUGUUAAAAUAUUCUUUGCCAUUAUCACUUCUAAAGACUUGAAUAUUUGUUUGAUAUUGGUUCUGCACCAUUGUACAAAAAUCCUUUACAGCCUGACAAACAUCUGAUUUCCCCUUUAACAAGUACACCCAACAUACUCUUGAAUGGUCAUCUAUAAAUGUGAUGAACCAUUUUUUAAGAGAAAGUGUACUUGUACGGUUAGGGCCCCAAACAUCACUGUGAACAAUAGAAAAAGGUUUUGAUGGUUUAUAAGGCUGUAUUGGAAAUUGGGAACGAUGAUGCUUUGCAAACUCACAUGCUUCACAUUUAAGCAAAGAAAGGUUCUUAUUAUAAAAUAACUUAGGAAACAAGUGUUUUAAGUAAUGAAAACUAGGAUGACCUAAUCGUAAAUGCCAUAACAUAACGUUGUCAUCAUUAUUAUUCAAAACAAAAAAAGAUUCAAAGCAGGAACUUAUUGUUUUUGGAGGUAGUUGUGAUGCAGAUCCAAUGUCAAGGUAGUAGAGUCCUCCACUCUCCUUAGCACUGCCAAUCAUCUUCCCCGAGUUCAAAUCCUGAAAGACACAGUGAGAACGGAAAAAAUUGGUUUGACAAUUUAUAUCUCGGGUUAAUUUACUAACAGACAUUAAAUUACAGGAUAAGUUUGGAACAUGAAGGACAUCGUUAAGAGUUAACACUGGAGACAACACAACUGACCCUUUACCUGCAAUGGCUGAAAAAGAGCCAUCUGCAAUUUUUAUUUUUUGAUUACCUGCACAUGGACUAUAUGAAGAAAACAAGGUGGAUUCACCUGUCAUGUGAUCCGAGGCACCUGAAUCUAAUAUCCAAGUAUGACUGGAACUGACACUAAGACAUGCAGAAUUACCUUUUGUUGCUAUAGAGCAAGAAGGGGUUGAAGACUCGAGGAGUUUGAGCAGUUUGUCUAGUUGUUCCGUAGUGAGCGGAAGCUGAGUCGUAGAGGAUUGCUGCCCUUGAUCAGAAUUACUUGCUUGAAAUGCACGACCACCUUUCUUCUUCCAGUUAGGAGGUUUUCCUAUGAGCUUCCAACAAUUUUCACGCGUGUGCCAUUCGCGCUUGCAGUGAUCGCACCAAGGAACUUUGUCUGACCUUUUUCCCUCGCCGAGGUUCCUAGUAGCCAGAGCAGAGCCUUCAGAUUCAGAACUUCGUGGUGUCUUGCCCAUCAUAAUUCCUUGUCGUGCCUCCUCCCUUCUGAUUUCUGCAAAAGUUUCACGAAGAGUUGGCAAUGGUAUUUUUCCUAAAACUCGACCCCUUACCUCAUCAAGGUCUGUAUUUAGCCCAGCAAGAAACAUGAAGACACGAUCAUUUUCUUGCCUCUUGAGAAACAGAACACUAUCUUCUGUACACCUCCAAUUGUCAUCAUAACAGAGAUCUAAUUCUUGCCACAGGGUCAACAGCUCAUUGUAAUAAGCAGUUACACUCCUGUCACCUUGUUUAGCCUGCCAUAACUUUGAUUUUAAACCAAAAAUUUGGGAAGAGUUUUGAAUAUCAGAGUAUGUUUCCUUAACAGCUUCCCACACAUCCUUUGCAGAAGGCAAAAACAUGUAAGGCUUACCUAUUCCAGUUUCCAUAGAGCUUACCAACCAAGCAAUAAUCAAGGAGUUUUCAGAUUUCCAUUGUUUGUAACGAGGGUCUCCGCUUGUUGGUUCAGCUACUGCUCCUGUUAAAAAACCAAGCUUCCCUUUGCUAUCCAAUACCAAGCGAACGGUUUGGGCCCAUUCAUUAUAGUUCUUCCCAUUCAUCUUAGGAAUAUUGACCUUGAGGGAGUAUGAGGAACCCUCUUGGUCAUUGCAACCUAUAUUGACAUUACUGUCACCAUAAACACUGUUGUUCCUGUUUUCAUUGUUGCCGCCAUUACCGCCACUGUUUGCGACGAACUUUGGUGUGCCAUCUCCACGACCACCACCAUUACCGCGGCCACCGCCGUCUCCUUUGCCACCGCCAUCACCGCUGUUGACGCCCGAGUCAAGUGAUUGUUCGCCGUGGUUGGUUGUGGAUCCGGUGUAGGCCUCUGCUAUGGAGGGCCACCUAUUGCGACCUGCCAUAGGAGGCUAAAUGGGUAUGUGAAACGGGUCGGGGAAGGAAAUAGGUUGAUCAGACUAGCUGUGGAAAGCUCUACAGUAGAAGUCCCAACCUAGGGCUCUUGAUACCAUAUUGGAAAAUAAUAGGUAAAUGUUGUUCUGUUUUAUUCCUCAGCCAAAGGCUGGUAUUUAUAGAGAGGAUACAAUUAUUACUCCUUGAAUUAAGGAGAGAAUUACUACUCCUUGAAUUAAGGAGAAAAUUAUUACAUAUAAAAAAGUCAAUAAUAGAAUCUCUAGAAUUGACUGGAAAACAAUAAAUACUGAUAUAUUUUCCAACAGAAAGAUUUCCAAACUUGAGUCCAGCCAUAAUGAAAUGUAGUAAAAAUUUGCUGGCUGAUAAAAACGACUAUUUUGUUCUGUACUAACUAAAAAUACAUGUAACUUUACUCAACUUGACCAUCUCCAAAAAGAUAAACAAAUAAAUGACAGUUGUCUUAUGAAACAAUCAGUGGAUAUUGAGGUCACUUGGAAGUGUUUCAGGAGGAUUAAUGUAAUUAUCUUCCAAUGUGAUAUUGUAACCAAAUGAGAAAAAUUAGACAACAUGAGAAAGCCUACAGAUUCGGCAUUUGCUUCAGAACUCUACCUCUUGCUAGCUUAGAGGUGAGGAAUUGAGGAUUGCUUUACCCUUUAAAAUGACUAUUUUGGCCAAAUAUCUAGUCAAUGUGAAACUUCUCAACAAAAACCUCAAAUGCCAUAAUAAUUUGGUUACGUAUAUUGCAAUGAAUAAGACUCCCCAUCAUACCCUGUAGAACAGUGGCUUAUUUUCAUUUCAAUAUUCAUUUCUAUUACUCUGUAGACUAGAACUUCUUUGGCCUCUACCAUAACUAUUGAAUCAUUAUUUUCAAUGGGCAUGCUUCAUUCAAUUAUUUAGCCUUAUUACCAUUAGAUCAUCAGAAGUAUUCUGUACGAAACAUUUCUCACCAGUCUCGGUAGCAUUUCAUACACAUUGAGUGAUUGCAGUUGGGCAAUACAACCUUGCUGUUUAUCUCCAUGCAAAUACCACACUCUUCUUCUCUCUCUAUGUCGAUUUCAGAGAGCUUUCCUUUGCUUGUUAAAUCUUUACACUUGUACCUAGUAGCACAUAGAUGUUUCUGUUUCCUCUCUUCAACAUCUGUGAUUCCUCUGUGAAGUUGCAAUAAAGAGGGAAAGACCACACCUGUUAAUAGAGAGUGUAAAGUAAUCCAUAACUACAUUUGGAUUUCCAAGCACUUUCCUAUAAAAUGGUAAAGAUAACAAAACUUAAUUAUCACAUGGCAUGGUCUCAAGCAGAUAUUGACAGCUAUAUUUCAAUAAGACAAUUUACUUAGUAGAAUUGGACUUACUAUAGAACUCCUUCAGACUGGCUUUUCUUUCGUAAAUGGACAUGGUUGUCUUCCCAUCCUGAUAUGCCUGUGACAAACCGAAUAUGUUCUAUGUAUAUCAUUCACUAGCAUGAGAACAAAAUAGUAACAUUGGUUGCAGUUCUGCACUGUGAUUCUAAAGUUAAAAUCAAUUUCGGAGAGACGCUUGUGUAUGUGAAAAGCUUCUGGGUGCCAAAAUUGGUUUUGCUGAAAAAUAAGCGGAUCCAAACAUGCUAUCAAGAAGAUCACAUGUUUUAGAAUAGGUUGUCUAAAGGAAAAGAUAGUUCAUGUUUGGAUACACAGUAGAUUCUAACGGUGGAUCGAUUCUGGGAGAAGCUACUCCUAGUAGAUUUUAUGGUAGCUAGCAAAAGUGAUUUUGGAAGAUAUAAACGUGAAUCCAAACAUGUUUAUAGAAGUGUUGAUAAGCACCGAAAAGAAGUAGGGUAUGCACCUUGUAUAUAAGAAUUCUAAGCAAUCCCAAGGCUCCGGCAAGGUGGCAAUCAGUCCACUGAACCAGAAAAAGGAAGAAUUGAGCAGCUGGGCUGUAAGACAAUCUCAUCUGGAGGCAGGCACCAUCCUGAUCACUUGGAUAACCAGAAGCACUGUUUCAAAACAUAUUCGGCACAAAGAACGGGUUAAAAACAUAGGAUAACAACAAGUUUUCUUUUGAAUUUUGUUUAUUAUUGAAACAUCAAAGAAAAUGGUCUCUUGAAUUUCACUGAUAAGCAUCUAAAUUUAAAGUAAGCACAUAAAAGCUUCUUCAUCUCAUGUUGUGACAAUAAUCCAAGUCUACAGUAGCGUUCAAACAGUAGCGUUCAAACAAAAAAUUGAAGGCCAGAUCCUACAGCAUUAAAAUACAAAACAAACUCGGAAGCUAGAAGUGACACAAGCAACUUAUUGUACUCUUGUUUCUUUCUUUGCAUUUUUGUUGUUGUUUACAUAACAUUUCAAACAUAUCUCAGAUGCGUUGUUUCUUUUCUUUGUUCUUUUACAUCCCCAUCCACACAAAUUGUAAAUUUUAUCUGCUAAACACAGAAUAAGAUAGUAGGGUCUUUCAAUCUACCACUGUACCAAAAAAAAAAAUGAAAAAAAGCUAGACUUUACUUAACAUGAUUGGGAACCUCUUUACAAAAAGGAGAGACAAAAUUUCCAAAAACUGAGGCACCCCUGCCACAUGAUGGGAAAGACACUAAUGAAUUGAAGCGCCCCAUUUCCUUCAAAAUGACAAAAUCAAAAGACAUUUUAAAAAGAGGUUCAGUUGAAAAAAGCAUAUAAAGCCAGCAAAAUGAUAAGUUUUUUGGGUUUACAAAUCUAUAUUCCAUAGAAAAAAUGAACACUUUAACACCUUUGCUUCAACAAGAGCAUGAUUGCAUUUUCUUACUCUUACCCCCCCUUCCACCUUUCAUUUCCUUUCCUUCAACUCAAUUCCCAUAUUUUAUUCUCCUAUUAAGCCCCACCUCAAGCGUACAGUUCACUAUUUUCUUUCUUCAGCUUAAGCAUAAGAGUGAUUAAAAAUAAAAAUAAAAUGUAAAAUACAAGUUGAAAAAACAGAAAUUUGAACUGUAUAGUUCUAUACAAGGUUCAGCAACAACACAGCAAAAAAAAAAAAAUUAAAAAAAUCAGAAAUUUAGCAUCUACCUAAAGAAACCAGCUAUUUGAGAAAUGGGUAUUAUCCAAAAUCACAUAAUUCAACAUUCAUACCAAAAAAUUAAAAAAAUUGUUGGGGUUCUAGAUAAGGAAAAGGGAUAGAAGAAAAAUUUACAGAGUAUUAGCAAACUGUAUGUCAGCUUCAAGAGCUUUGAGUGAAUCCUUGAAAGUCUUGCGCAUCUCUCCUAUUCCUUUAUGUUGAUUCUUCCUUCUUUGCAGACUAAACCCCUUCAUAAACCCUCACAGCAGCAAAACUAGAAACACCACAAAAAAAUAACAUGACCAAAUUCUUCAUCAUAGUCCAUUUCUAUAGGAAAAGUACCUCGUAUUGUUACCUGCGAAGAACAUCAACAACAACAUCAUCCUCGUGCCAAACCAGAGCAGUUUCAGAUGGAGAGAGAGAAAGAGAGAGUGGCAGAGAGAGAGAGAGAGAGUUGGGGAACGCAAAAAUGUGUUGGGUAGUUUGCAGGGUGGGUUUUCACUUGGACUACACGUAACACAUUUCUUUUGUACACAUAUUAAUGGGAAAUAACACGUCAUGGUGUCAGUUAUUGUUAAUUACCAAAAUGCCACUAUCAUUUUCAUCGCCAUUCAGGUGAGAUUCAUUUUGCUCGCUUCCCUAUAGGAUUGUUCAUCGGUUGUUUGAUUGAUCCAAAUCUGAACCCGACAUCUAGAAAUUCCUAAAUGGAAAAAGGAGUGUUUAACACUCCAUUCUAAACUAACCAAUUAUUCCAAAACUUAAGUUAUUGGUUAGGAGAUACAAAAUAAUUGUAUAUUAUAUUUCUAACACGUCCCUUCAUAAAAGAGACUCACUAGCUAUUAUAUGUUGAAAUUUCACAUUUUAUUAGAAUAAUAGGGGGCGGUAAUGAUCGAAUUCUUGAUCACUUGAUCAUCACAGAGGCUCUUGAGAAGUCUCACAUUAACUACAAGUAUGGCGAAAUAAGUGUUUAUAAAUGGUAAAACAAUCUUUAACUCUUGAGCUAGUUUUUUGGUUGAGUUGGACAUCUCAAAUUCUAAUAUGGUAUCAAAGCUUAUGUCAUGUUCAUUCCUGGAUAUUCCACGCUCCAAAUGUGGGUUGUGCGUGAGUGGGUGUGUUGAGAAGUCCCAAAUUAACUAGAGAUAUGGUCAAUUAAGUGUUUAUAAAGAGUAGUGCAAUCCUAAACUCUUGAACUAGUUUCAGGGUUGAGUUAGAUCUCUCAAAUUCUAAUACCUUCCACCUAUAGUUUUAGAGACGGGUUUUGAUAUGUAGGCCACUUAUAGUAGUGACAAACACAUUUGGACAUCCAGAACAUAUGUAAAGAUCAACGAUGGAAAGAGGGUCAGAUGACAUCACGACUUAUUGAUUACAUCAAAUGAAGGGUGACCCGAGGUGUUUGUAAUUAUUAAGGGGUUAUUUAGUGACUCAAAAGUAGAUUAAACAUGUUGGUUGUCUUUCCAAACCAUAAAGAUGUAGGUUUUUUUUUUUGAAACAUCUUUCUUUCUUUUCUAAAAAAUGCUCUAACAAAUGCAUAAUAAUUAUCCAAUAAUGGAUAACCUUACAUCCAUAAAUAUAUGUACAAUCAAAGACUCCUACUAGAAAUAUCAAAGAUCUCAUAUGCCCGACAAGCUCUAUGUGAUCUCCACGCAGAGUAGACCACACAACAGCUAGAUGUCGUAACCUACCCUUAAGUGAAACAGACUCGUAGGUCGUCGUACAUGCAACAACGGUAAGCUUUCUAACUAAAAUGUUCUAACCUUAAACAAGACUCUACUUCUCCUCCAUAGAGCUCUCCUCAUUGACAACACCAGUUGGACAUUCCCAGAGGUAUAAUAGUGUGUGAUCUAGUCGUUAUCCAUCGUCUGGCAAUCAUCCGUCGUCCAAACUCAACAUACAAACAUGGUGUGCAAGGGUAUAUAUAUAUAUAUAUAUAUAUAUAUAUAUAUAUAUAUAUAUAUAUAUAUAUAUAUAUAUAUAUAUAUAUAUCAUACUUACACAGUUAUGAUUGUGUAUAUGUAUAUAUAUUAUGCGAUACGAUAUAUUCUCAAGCAGGUAUUUCACAAGGACCCAAGUCACAUGAACAUAUAUCACACUAUCACAGGAUACUCAUUCAUUUAACACAAGUACAUUAUGGUAAUGAUAAGAAAAAUAUUUAAUUCUCAUCCAGACAAUAAUUCGAUGGUUAAAUAACAUUCUAGACGACAAUACAUCGUUUUUGAAACAGGAUCGAGUUCUUCGACGACACUUCGAUUUUAAUAAUCAAAAAAUUAUUUUCAUUCGAUUAAAUUCAUCAUACCAAUUCACACAUAAAGGUCAUGCUAUACAAGCAUUAAAGCACUAAACUGAAAAAUUAACCAAGUUUAUUUCCCUUAAUUAAUCACGGGUCUUACAAGUAUCAAUUUUGCUUGGCGAUGCAUGUACAAGAAAUAAUUUUGAUUCACUUUCACGGUUCUUUAUUUCCCACACAUUUUAUCUUCAUAACACUGUUAUUUUUUUAUCAUGCCACCUAUAUAUUGUAUUACUCAUUUUCUCUAUUUUCGUUGUUUCUAUCAAUAUGUGAAUAAAACUUUCUCACAUCUAAAAAGAGAAGAGUGAGAAAUGGGAGAUAUAUAAGAGACAUGAAGAAAAAUAAGGUGAUAAUAAAUUGUAGGAAAAGCCGAGUGGGAAUAUGUUGAGGUUGAUCCAAAGUAAACCGAGAAUGAAUCUUCCAUAGCAGAUAUACUCUGCAGUACUCUACUGCACAAUCAAAAUUAUUGGUUCUUGUUAUUAAUUGUGAAGAUUAAAAACUUAAGAUGAUUUAUUGGUGGGAGAGGAUGAACACGUCGUAGAGGAUCUAAAUCCAAACUGUAUAAAAACUUAAUGUGAUUUGUGAUUUAGGUCGGGUGGUCGGUCUGUAUUAAAAUAAUAAAAAAAUUAAAAGUUCACAAAAUGUUGACCAAGCAAGGAAGAAGGCUCAGUCAAAUAGAAAUGAUUAGCAAUGUAAAAAUAUAUGGUAAAAUUUUGUUAAACUUGUCAAUACAAUGUAACUAAAAUCUCCUACAAAGAGAUAAUAGAAAGUAAUUGGCCGAAGAGAUAGUGACUUUGCUAUAUAUCUAACAAAAAACUUGUUGGCUGCCACGUUAAAAAAAAAACUCGUUGGCUGCAGUUGCGUAAAGAAACUGAUCACAAAGAGAUUCACCAUUGUUAAUAUUUGUUCUUGCAUAUAAUUUCCUCUCAUUUUGAUAGUGAAACAAGAAAAGGAGAAUGGUUUGUCUUGCUGGAUAACCUUAUCAUUUAAGGGAGUACGUUGGAGAGUAUGCAAUAUCUUAUGCUCAAUUAUCUUUCUCAAUGCAAUAUUAGUUUUGUUUAGUUUUCAUGUCACGACAGAAUCUAAUCCUAAUGAAACUUACCUUUAUCUAGAACAAUUUAGAUUCCCUGUCAAAAGAAAAGAUAUAAUUUUGGGACUGGAAAUUAUUGAUAGGCGUAUGCAAAGUGGCGUACACUCUAGCAACAUAUAGAGAUUUGUGAGAGAUUUUUAACCGUCAUAAUUUACGUGCGUUAAAGAAAAUGUGGUAAUUAAAAACCGCCACGAGUUUAUAUGUCCUUUAGCGUCUCACUUGUCUGUAUGUCUACUAUUGUUAACUAUCGGUUUAGAACUAUACAUCAAAAUGACAUUGUGGGUUUUUUUUAAAGAAAAAACUUAAAUUAAAUUCCUUAUCUUCAUUUUGUCAAGUUUUUCAUUGAAACAAUGACAAAUUGACUUUAUUUCUAAAAAUAAAUGAUAUUUAUUAAAAUUUAAUUGUUAAAUUUUAAAUAUAUUUUUUUUGAAAGAAAAUUUUAAAAAAAAUAAACACUUGGCAUUUUAUAUAUGUGAUUGGAGAAUUUGAUAGAAUAUAUAUAAUACUUUGUUCAAGAAGUUACAAUUCCAUGAAUUUUAAAUUGAUCGUUGAUUGGCCAUACAACUUCUCAAACUUCAAUUCAUGUGGUAAACAACAACCAUUUUCUUUUGAUAUACCAUUUGGGUGGGUGUUUAGCAUGAAGUGUUGGCACUUUCUCCUGGAUGAUACUUGCCCAAGUAGGCUCUUACUGACCAUAGUUCUAGGCUAGAGUUACUAUUAAUUGAAAAGUGGUUACUCAAACUAAUUCAAUUCGCAGACAAAAACAGAAAAUUAAAUAAAGCUUUAAUUUAAUUUGGAGAUAACGACAUGCCAACUCCUCAAUAAAUAGAAAGCAAAAUAUUAAAGAAAUGACGAUAAGGUGGCAGAAGACAAGUGGAAGUUCUUGACCAAGAAAAAACAGGUGGAAGUUAAGUAUUGCUUACAUUAGAAUACUCGAGAGUGUGUCUUGAGAUAUAAUUAACUUUUUAAUAAAAAAUAGAGUAACUCUCAUUUUUGUUUAGGGGGAGUAUAACAUUAUGAAACACCGACAUAUCUCCUUAAGCUAGAACGAGCACACCUGAUCCAUGCGCUUAAAUUCUCAUAUCAGAAGUUCAGAACUAACUUUUAGAGAAAAUAGAUUUCAUCAAAAUUUUAAAAGCUGGUUAAUUACAAUUUUUAUAAUUAAUUUUUUAUUUUUAAAAACAGAAAAAGAAAAAAUUCCUUCGAUAUAAAUUGUUUUUAAACAAUGUUCCUAAAAUAGUUGUCGUUUUGGACUUUAAGAACUAAUAUUUCAAAACAUCUCGAUGAUGUUUUAUAUUUUUAUUUAAGGCUAUUUAAUAUGCUUUAUAGUAUAACGUCUGAUAAAAAUUUAAUACUAUACAGUGUUUUGUCAUACACUGUAUAAUUUAUUAUAUUGUUUAAGUUAGUAUAACUCUUUGCUUUGUGAAAUAUUGAAUAAUGAAAGGUAAUAUUAAAAUGAGGAUGAUAUUAAUGGGCGAUGAAGAUAGUGGUGAUGGCAGCGACGACAAUAGUGGAGGCGGUAAUGGAGGGUGGGGGUUGUGGUAGUGUAGUAGAGGUGGCAGUGGUGAUGCUGAGUAGUUGCGGCGAUGGAGGAAGUGAGGGUGGUGAUGGUGGUAUUGGAAAGUGAUGGCGGUGGGGAUGGUGGUGGUGACAGCGAUAACGGUGGUAGUAGUGGCGGCAGCAACGAUGGUGGUAGUGGUGAAGCAUGGUGGUGGUAGUCGCGGCGGCAGGGGAGGCGGCAGCGGGGGUGGUAGUAGUAGCGAUAAUGAUGAUGGUAGCAACAAUGGUAGCAGUGGUGAAGCGUGGUGGUGGUGGCAGUUAAUUACAUAUAUUCAAAUAGUUUAUACAUCAUAUUCUUAUCAUGCCUUAUCCAUCAUCUAUAAGGUGGAUUAAAUAAUUCAUUGUUUUAAUGUAUAAGAGUGAAUUGAUGUACUAUACAAUACAAUGUGAGUAAAUGAUGUCCAUAAUGUAUUGUAUAAUCUUAUAUUAUCAUGCCUAAUAGAUGUAUCAAAACAAUUAACAGUAUAUGCAUCAUUAGUGUAAAUUUUGUUUAUGUAGCCAUCACAUUGAAUUCCGCCAAUCAGAAAAUAUAAUUUGUUUAAAUUAAAAUUUAAAGGAGAGAGUUAUAAUACAAAUGAUAAUGAUAAAUUAAAAAAAACUGAGAAGAGAAUGAAACGGAAAAAAAAAACAGAAAAUACAAAUGAAAACCAAACAGAUAGACAUAUCAUUUUUCCCGCAUACGCUUCUUCAGCUAUGCAAUUUUUUUCAUGCACAUGAGUACAUGACAGCAUGAAAUCAACGUGGACCUCCAAGAAACUUUAACUAGGCCCAGUCUUUAAAUGCUCUACACCCUUCAUAGUACAUACGACAUGUAUUAAUAUAUAAUUUCCCUUCUUUCUCUUCCAAUGCUUUCCUAUUAGUUUGCUUCUAUAGACAUGUAAUAACACUACAUAAACAACUGAAACUUCAAUCACUCAAGUAAUUCAAAAGUUUUUCAAGGCUGGAAUGGAAUAGCAGCAAACCAAGAAGCUAAGGCCUAAGUGCAUUGCCUAAUUGAAGGAGCUACUUUGUCCACAUGGUAGUAUUUGGAUUAUUGCUAUAUCAUUAUCGUUAUGUGACAUGAUAACCUGUUGCGUGCAACAUUGGAACACCUAAUUGGAAACUUCAAUUGCAUACCAGUACAAUUAAGCUUGGAAAGUGCAUACAUCUAUUUUCCUAGAAAGUUUACAUUGAAGUGUAAGAACCAGCUAUAGUUAGAGAUCCUUCCCGUCCACAUAAGGCAUUGAUCUAAUGGGGAUGAUACAUUUACACUUCAGUAAAGAAAGUAUAGCAUAUCAAUUUUUGUAUUAUGCUAAUUAAGGACUGUCCAGAGAUAUAUGACAGCAUAUUGGAGGCAAAUCAGAAAAGUAGGCAACUUCAAGGAUUUGGGAAGGAACCAAUCGAUCAGGAUCCUCUGACGUCGAAGCUUCACAUGACAUUGUCACGUUAAAAUUUUGUGUUUAUUUUCUCUUUACAUAGGUAUUAAAUAGGUCGAAUCCUUUGAAUAUUUAUGAAGAGAAAUAGACACAAUGUUUCACUGACAUGAGAAGAUACCAAUCCGUGGUUCCUUGCUUGCAAGUAUGAAAGCAUCACAAGCAACUACAUAAUUAAGGGCAGCACAUACAUGGUAAAAAGUACCAUCCAAGACACCCAUCAAGCUAGAUUUAACACCAAAUACCCUCAUUUUCCAAUUAAUAUGCAUUCAAUUUUAUUAAAUCAGCAUCAAUAGCUCCCUCUCAAGGUAAACCAAGGAACUUCUCUAUGAAGAAAGAAUAAUGAAUUGUAUGACUACAGAUUGUAGGAUUACACUGUACACCCACAGAAGUCCUGAAUAGCAAGCAUGAACUUUCCCCAAAAAUAUAGCCAACAUGAAUUAUUUUAAACAAUAUUGACAAAAGCUUUUUUAUACAGAAGGAGCCUUCCAAGGAAUGCAGUAUCAAAGCUAGUAUAAGGUAUUCAAUGAGUUAAAACUAUAAGCCAAUUGGCCACCAUAAAUACGUUUUCUCCAUUUGUUGUACAUGUGAAUAAUAGAUUUUUUUUCUCUGAAUGAUCGCCACUCUGCUUGCAGUUUUUUAUUUGGCUGUGGUUAUAUUUUAGGUUUCAACUCUCAAGAACCUCAUGGUCAUAGUAAUGAUGAAAACAUGCCAUUUUAGAAGUUAGAGAGGAUUGAUAUCAUCAAUUGAGAUUUCUUUGGGAACCUUCAAUUUUAAUUGCUGGGUGUCCCAUCCAGCACUUUUCAACUUUUGAAUGAAAUCUUCAAACCUAUCUUCCAAUUCCAUUAGGCUAUUAGCAAGUUGAUCACAAACAUUACCCUUGCUAUCCCAGUUCUCACUUAGCCAAAAUGCCUGCCACACACUUCGCAAUACUGAGACACUUGAAGCUCCAACCUGCAGUGUGAUUAUUAAAUGAGAAGGUGCUGUAAAGCUGUUCAACACAAACACAGGCACUCACGAACUGCAUAAUAAUCUCCUAUAUAGCUCCCCACAAUUGCUAGAACAAUCAGUAUUUCCUUGAUUUUCUGCUUUGUCUUCAUUUCCUUAAGUUGUUAUUUCUCCGAUUACUUCUACCUUUUCUUCAUGCUCUUUAUGCUUUUUCCCUGUUUCUUUACAACCUUUGCUAACAUUGCCAAGUGAGUUGUUAACACUUUUUAUAUGGUUCCUCUUCCUGUACUUAGAAAGAUGUCCUUUUCCAACAUUCUAUACUAGGACAAGGGGAAGUAAGAGGAAAUUGCUCAAGUGAGCAGCAGCUGCUCAUUUUCUUGAAAUAAUUGUGCCGUCCUCUUUGAAAAUUGGAGAAGCAGCAUCUUGCGGAAUCAAACACAUAAGCAGAAGCUAGAAGAAUCAAUGAAGCAGCAGCUACAAGUCCCCCCCCCCCCCCAAAAUGCAAGAACCCUUUUAGGCUUGGAGCAUUAACAAAGCACUAGCCCACUUAUCAUGUGCCAAAAUUCAAUCUUUGUUUAAAACAUGGGGGUGGGACUGAUCAAUCUCCUGAGCAGUUGGUCACAUAAGCUCUAAACCAUGUCCAGAAACAAUUAUUCCAUAAGCUUAAGUUGUAAAGUAUCAUAAACGGUGUUUAUGUCUAAAUAAUAAUGAAAUCUAUGUCAAAUUAGGUCUUUUUUAUGCAAUUCGGAAAAGAGAAUUAAAGCAUACCUUGAAAGAAACAUAAAACUCCAAAUCUUCUGGCUGCUGGUUCACCAUAAGGAUAUAUUUCUCAUUCGCAUAUAAUUUGAUAAGUGCCUCCACCUGCCCCAUUGUAACAUUAAUCAUAAAAUUUCCAGUUGGGUGCCUUUGGAUGCAAAUGAAUCUAUAAAUGUGAAUCCUCAUGUGCUCUCAUAAUUUCUCCAUUAUAAGGAACAUUUUAGUGCAUGUUUUUUUUUAGAUCAACCAUUACCCAACAUGAUUUAGAAGUGCAACAUGCAUAUAAAGUAUCUUUCAAGAACCAAACAAAUAAGUUUCAUGCAUGAAAAAAACACAAACCCUAGUUAUCACCACAUACAUGCAUAUAUAUAACUUAUUUUCACAGUUGAAAAUGAGGCCUAAAAAAAUGCUCCCCCCGUUUCUUAUUAUGAGAACCAAAUUAGAGAUAUAGCUUUGGUCCUUCACUCCUUUUUAUAAGAACCAACUUGAAGUUUGUGGUGGAUUAAAAUAUGGAACUUUCUUUCACUUUCCAUUCUCCAACGCAUUAAUGAUAGAUAGAAACUACACAUGCUAUCAAAUUAGAAUUCCCAUCAAAUUUGAGAAAGAAGGGGAGGAAAAUCCUUAAGUCAAGUAGUAACAAUAGAAUUAAGAGGCAUGUUUUAUUAUCCCUUUAUUCUCAUUAUUGGUGUCCUGAAAUCAUGUGACUAUGAUCCCUUAUUUAUGUAAUAAUGAUUAUGAUGUUUAAUUAUCUUGAUUGCAAAAGUUAUCAAAAUUAUUAUAAUUAUCUUGAUUUCCUUCAUAAAAUUGGGACAAUAGCAGCAUCGAUGAUCCAAUACCAUGAAAUGAGAUCCUCCCACGCCAUCCAUCUUCUCCAAGGGCAAGCCAAAUAUGAUUUUUGGCUUCAAGAACUGUGGCCAUGCUAAUAUAUUCUCUUCCCUGUUGCAAUCCAGGCAUCCUGAAAUAAACCCAUCCAGUAAAUUGGAUAUUUCUGCAAAGGGUAAUAACUCACACAGAAAAUCACUGAAUUUUUCUGAAUGUAACCUGGAACAGUGGAGUGUAAUACAUGUGAUUUUACCAGUAUGCGAGCACGCUUAAGAUUUAUCUGUAAGAAAGAGUUGCACAAUGAGAAAUCAAACAAGUCAAUAUUAGAACAGAUAUUGGCGGAUUUCAUCCAUUACUAUUUAGAGGAAAUGCUGUUGUAAAAUUCUUUUAUUGUUCCUAUAUAUGUGUGCCUCAUACAUAUGAAAUAUUUGGAACCCACCUGCACUUGAAAGAAAAAAGUAAAACACACAACAUCCCUGCCGAACAGCAUGGGUUUCAACUUUUAUCCCAAUCCUCGCUCUGGACCAAGGUGCGAGGAUUGGGAUAAGUUUCACCCUCACAUAAACCCAUAAAGCAAGAACACAGAAUAAUCAUUACUAACGGUAGUAAAAGGUGAUAUCUUCUCCCACAAAGGCAUGCAUGAACUCAGAUUUUAAAUGUCUUCAUACCAGCUUUCAUGCAUACAGAUUUAUUUGAAAUAGAUUCAAUGUUGGUUGAUGCACUGCAUACUCACUGUGUUAAACUGGAGGACUGAAAGUGAUUCAUAGCGUAGCCAAAGAUGCAGAAGCCGCAUACUCAACCAAGUUAAUGAAAGCACUUGAUACGACUUUACAACGCCAGGUGUAUCCUGCAGUCAAAAGCUAAAGUUAAAAGUAGCAUGCCUACCAACAGUAUCUUGGUGCUGCUACAAUAAGAAAUAAAGCCAUCCUGAAAAAUUAUUUUACCAGUAUCAAUAUACCCAAAGCAAGGCCAAUCAGUUGAGCAACCACUUCCCAAACUUCUUCCUGAGAUUUAUUUAUGAAACAAACGUGAGGAGAUCCCUUUGCAUUUUCCAAACAGUUUACAUGAGAGAACAACUAUCAUUUGUAGCUUCUUCUUUAAAAGUCAUGCCAAGCCAAGAUGUUGAACCUAAAGGGAACUUAUGAAUGAUAAUUGGUGAAUCAAGUUACUUAACACUUUGCUGAACAUUUGUACUAACCAGUUCCCUCUGGGUCCAACGUCUCAACUUGGCUUUCCAGCUCAAUCAUUUUCUCAAGAACAUCUUAAAAGCUUAGGCAUAACCUGGCCUGAUAUAUGUAACCAAGAAAUUAAAAAACAAAAAUGAUAAGAAGCAUCUACUAUUGAUAUCGAAUUAUAAUUUUAUCAUGAAUACUGAGGUAUAUACUAUAUAUAUUGUUUAACAUCAUAUCUUGAUUCAUUAUUCAAGGCUUCUUGCCAAUAGCAUAAUCUCAGCCUAGUUUUGUCAUUAACCGUCUCAUUAGAUUGGUGGGUCAACUCCUACCCAAGAGCCUUGAAUAAGUGUUUUUACUCGAGUUAACAAGGGUAUAGUGAAAAUAUAAAUCAUGAAAUUAAAAUUAACUUACAACAUCACUUUAAUACAACGAGCAACACAAACAUAAUUUUUCUUUAUGUAGAUGUAUUCAUAGAUAGGAGAGUUAAGAUUAAUACUUGAAAGCAUGAAAAGAACAAAUGCCAAUGCAGAUUUCAUUAAACUCCUGAUGAUUUAUAGAUACACAUAAGAAAAAUUAUUACCAGAAAUUAGAGUAGGUUUACUCAUAAUUUAUGAUAUGAGACCAUACCUUUGCUGCUAUCUCCCCGAGAUUUCCUGAAAUCGCAAAGUGGUUUUGGAUCACACGAAAAGAAGGAUCUUUUAGUCCUCUUGCUACCGCCUGUUAGAAUAGCAAACUCAGAAAGUUAUACAACCAUUAAUGAGCCAACUAUUAAAUGUUUGGAUCUCUGUUACAUUCAACUAAAGUCACUUUCAUCCCAUGAGACAUGAAUUUCCGUUAACAGUCCUUUUAAGUUUUAGUAAGAGAAAUCCGUACACAGACUACGCCAUCCAUCUUUUUUGAUACAAUAAUUAUCUUUUAUUUGGGCUAGGAGGUGACAUUUUCGAAGUUAUAGGUUGCUAAACAUUUGUUUGAGAGGAUGCACAGGAGGUGAAAGAAAAAAUAAGGUGGCCACUCUUUGGAAUAUGAGGACCAAGAAAAAGAAAGAAUAUAAAAGGAAAAGCUCUCAGUUGAGUCAGUUCACGAUGCCUAGAUACUUGAUAUGAUAUGACAAGGAUAUAGGGACACAGAGAAUUCUUAAAAACUCAGGAAUCAAGAUACAAUAUGGCCUAGAUAUUUAUAAACAUGUAACAAAAAAUUACUUUUAUUUUAUCAAUGUUAGAAUGCCAGAGCUUAACUAGUCAUAUUUAGAAGAAGUUUUAGCUCUAUUCAAUUGCAUAUUGUUUACUGUCUAAAACUAAUUGUAUCAUUUUCAUCUCUCAUUCCCAUCAUUAAAAAAUGUAUAGCUUCUAUGUCGAGUAGAGUUCAUCAAGAGAUGACUCUAUAAAUUCAAGAAGUUCACCGUCAUCAUGUACAUCUCCACUAAUAUCCAAUAACAUUGUCUCUCCUUUAGUAUAUUCUUUAUCUUAGCUAGACAAGAGUUAGAGGUCGGAGUGAACAUAAGCCAAAUCCUUUGCCCUAUUAGGGACCAUUUUGUUUCUCUCGAAGGAAUGAACAAAGAAAUAUGUAUUGGACUCCAAUUUCUCUGUUAACCUUAUCAUAUUGAACAAGAAAAUACUAGAAGUUUAAGGCAGGUUUUUGAAAAUAUAUCUCAAACUUCUUGAAGGUAUAUCCCAAAAGUAUUGGACCUUAAUUCCAUAAAAAAAAUGAAAGAUACUGCUCAGAGAUGUAUCUAGGAGUAUAGUACGCAUAUCAGUAUCAGAUACAGGAACGACACCGAUACUUCAGCAAUUUUGCAGUACCGGUGCUUCAGAGUUCAUAGCUCUAGGUGCAAAGAAUCAAUCCCCCCCAUCCCAAAAAAAAACAGGCGAAAAAAAAGAAACAGUUAAGUACCAAACUUUUAAUUUUAGUACAAAGCUACAUAUAUUUAUCUAUGUUCAAAAUAUGGCAGAAUAAGAAAUCACAUCACCAAUUCAGCAUCUAUCUCAUGUUCUUCUUUUCUACAAAACGAUCAAAAGAUGACAGGCAUUACUUUCUAUAUCCCCAUUCCCACUGUCUUUAUUUCUUUGCAUUUCUUUUUUUCUUUUUGGCAACCAUUAAACAUGACUCAUGAUACAUUAUAACACUAUUUGAUCCAUGUAUUCAAUCCGACCUAGUGGGAAAAGGCUUUUUUUGUUCUCUCUCUCUCUCUCUCUUCCAGGAUAUAAUUCUUUUUUUUUACACUUUCCUCCUUGCAUAAAAGAAGUUAAUAGUAGGAAAAGAAGGGUAACAGAAAAUGACAAAUUUCCCAGAGAUAAUCAUUAGAUGUUACUUUAAAUCAUUUGAUAUCUUUGAAAUAAUAAUUAAUAAUAAUCUAUUUAUAGUACUUUUUUAAUACAACAUAGUCAUCCUUUUGACAGAUUAAAGUAGCAUAAUAAAGUACCUUAGUAAGAUUUCCAAGCGAUGCCAAAGGAAGGAAAUAGGCAGGAUAUACUUGGGUUGUCAGAUCAAAAAUGCUGCAUGAGAUACCAGCAGCGUAAGAGUUUCUUUAGAGCCAGAAUUUACUUGCAUAUUUCCAUAGGAAAACACCAAGGCAUACUACUAAGACCUUCCAGCACUGCCAAUGAAGUCUGCAUACAUUCUCCAUUGUUUUGGAUCAUCAUCAAAGAGAUUUCCAAACCGCCCACCUGAAAAAGUAUCAACACUCAGUUAAAGAUAAAAUUUUAGCACAUAAUCUUCUGCUUCCUUUAGCUUUUGUCAAGAUUGCCAGACCAAUGAAUAAGCGUCCAAAAGCUCCAAUGCCGUCCUUUGAGACCCAUCUAAAUAUAAAACCAUGAAACAUGAAGGUAACAAGUAAAUGGUUGCAUGAAAGUGUUUAAAACAUUUCUAUAUGCAUAUAAAUGUUGUAUUUGUAUACAAAAUUUGCAAGCUUUAAAAUUUGAGUCACCUGAUGGCAGCAGCAGAAGCAGCUGCUGUGGUACCAGAAAAAGAGCCAAUGCCAACAGCCUGCAAGCGAAGUAGAAACUUUGAUACAAAGGACGGAACCACAAUCAUCAUUCCUCACAUUUAUGUGGCAGAGAAAUAAUUUUCAAACAGAAGCUAACAUUGUUAUAUAGCACAUAGAAUUGCAUUACACUUUGCUGCAAAAUCACAUUGUAACAUGAAGUAAACAUUUAUUAAUUUUUUUUGAAGGAACAGAGUUAGCUAUUAAAGAGUUGGGUUCAUAAUGUACAUCAACAUAAUUUAGAAAACUGUAAUCAUUCAUGUAGCAAGUAGAUGGUAGAACUACCACUAACGAUUUUUAAGAUUUGGCUUUAAGCCUCACUGACAUUCACAAUGGGAUUUUGUGCACUAAAAAUUAAGCCUCACUACCAUGUAGCACGCCAGAUUCACAUAGUCAUAACAUAAAAAUUGACCAAAUAUUCACAUUGCAUGUCCUUGAGAAAAAAAUCAGCAUGCUUGAGCAAGAUUGGCAUACCCUUAGGAGACUUGAAGUGACUAAGGUGUGACAGAUCCAUCCAGUGACAUUGGUAGGGAACUGUAGUAACAUGUAGUGCAAGUAAUCAUCUGAAACUGAUCCUGCAUCAUGACCGAUGAAGGUAAGUAAACAAAUGGUUACCCUCCAACUUCAUGUAAUCAAUGAAGUUAAAACUCCAUAUGUUUCUCUGUGAAGCAUCCACUAAAUUUUUAAUGUUUGUUUCUUCUAGUAUUCUACUCUCCAACUAUUUGUUCAAGUCACCCUUAAGCAUGUCUCAAAUGAUUAGAAAUUUAUCACGAGUUGGAUGCUACUUCAGUGGCAUCAAAGAAAAAAUGAGAUUAUUGACAGGAACAUGUGGUGUUUAACAUAUUAUAGAUGAAUAAUGAGAGAUAUGUUAGUAAAUCACCAGGAAAGCCUGCUGGUAGAAUAAAAUCUUUGAUUAUCUCUGGAAGCCAGGAUAGUCUUUGAUCAGGGGAAUGCAAAACCCCGAACCUGUUUGCUGUAGAUUUAUCCUCCUCAACAAGAAAGGUUUGCAACUGCAAAUCAUCACCUAAUACAUAUCUGCAGUCAUAAGGGGGUCAAAAGGUCAUAAUUUAAACAUGUUUUGAGGAUGGCAGCCAUUGUGAAAUUUAUGUAAUUAAGCCCAGGAAGUUACUAGAAUUUUUCAAGAAACGAGCAAACAUAACAAUGAUUAUCAUGUCACAGUAUAGUUAAGUAAAAACCUCUUAGAAGUACCAUUGCUAUAUCUCUCAACCAGUAUGACCCGCGACAAGCCUGGACCUCUGAAACAUCAUAACAAGAUGAAAACUAGGUCAUUGGGACACAGAAAUACAUUAAAAAUUCCAAAGCUUGGAUUGAUGAAUUCAACUAAACCCUUUAAAAAUUUCACAAAAUUCACUACUUUCCUUGUCAACAACAAAUAAUCUUAUCUAAAAUUUGAUAAUUGAAAUGAGCCAGUGGAACUGUGCCCCAAAAUGCUUCAUCAACUUUAUUAAUUUCCUCCCCAUAGAUAAUUCCAUAAUCCAUUUGGGCAUUGAUUUUUGUACCAUCCAAACACAUUCCCUUACCACCCAAAUUUACCGCACUUAUGUGUGCCGGAACCAAUAUCACACCAUAGCACUUAUAAGUGCGGAACACAAAUUAUACAUUAAUUAAAUUGAAAGUGCGGAAGGGGAUGGUAUGAAUAUCUAAUAAUGGGGUGGUGAGAAAAUUAAUACCCAUUUCAUUUUCUUGUCUACAACAGAUAAAUUAUCUAGACUAACAAACUUUGGGGUGAAAUAAAAAAUUCACACUAUGAGACCUUCCAUAAUCAGCAUCAUCUUCAUCUUUGAGACUAGAUUGGUCAUAGGAGCAUAGGAUUCUAUGACAGUGAGGCCUAACUCUCUUCACCUUGAAUGAAGAAUUGAAUGCACUUGAAGAGAAUGAAAGUUGCAAGGUCUGAGACAUUUGAGAGAAAAAUACUAGCUUCUUCUUUUUGUAUGAGCAAUGUAGUGACACGGUGACACUAUCUCUGAUAAUCCAAAGCUCAUUGCGAAGAAUGAGCCAAGAUGCGGGUCGGGUUUUCGGUAACGACCCGUAGUUUGACCCGAAAAGUAAUAGUGCAGCGGCCUAUACAAACUUUUGGGCUAAGGAGACUGGCCCGGCCUAUGAAUUUAUUAUUAUGUGCAUGCUAUUUUUAUUACACGGGUUUUGAUUUUUAAUACAAUAAAAUUAAAAGCUUAAAUGAUUUUGGUGAUACACCAACAAAAAAACUGAUUGUAUAUUUUUUUUUUAUGUAAAAAAGGUAUCCUGCUUCAUUGUUCGAGCUAGGAACAUCCACAUCAUGGUGGACUAAUUCUUUCAGUGGAGGUUUUUUCACCAACAAUACUCAAAUUCGAGACCUUGCUUAAGGGGAAUCAAACAUGUACCACAUGAACCAACCACCCGUUGGUAACUAAUUGUAUACUUUAAUAUUAGUCAUUAUUACAAAUUUAUUCAAUUUAGAAAAACAAUUUUUUGUUCAAAUUCUUUUUACAUUUGUAUCAAAAGAGAUACAAACAUAAAAGAGGAAGGAAAAAUAUAAUAAAUGAUGAAACAAAUAAAGAAGAAAGGGAUAGUACAAAAAAAUUUUAUGAAAAUGAAAUGAAAUAGAAAGUAAAAUGUGAAUGACUCAAAAUAUUUUAAAAAAUAUUGUGAUUUGUGUUCUUCUUUAGUCUCACAAGAUUAAAUCACAUAACUUUUAUGAUAUAAUUUAUAUUUACUAACAUUGUAAAGAGUUUUACAUAUGUAAUCAAUCAUAUUACUCUGUUUUGAGGGUACGGAUACUAAACUAAGUUCUGCCACACCUACAACAAUGAAGGAGCUUGUCGAAUACAAGCGAAUGGCGAAUCUGCGAUCUGCUGGUUCGAGUGAAGCGAGCUUCGUGCAAGGUCUAGCUAAGGACUUAUCGCGAUGAUGGAAGUCUUUGGAUCUAGUUUCGUUGCCGAACAUGGAUGCCGGGAAAACAACCACUGGUUAGGAGUAUGGAGCGGUGAUAAGGGAAGAUGAUGGUGAAGUAGUGUGUGCAGUUGUUGGGUCUAAUGCAGUGAACCUUGGUGUUGAUUUUGCGGAAGAGGUGGCGGUGAAGAAGGGAUUAGUUCUAGCUCUAGACAAGGGUUUGUUGUAGUUGUGCAUUGAAAUUGACUCUAUGAUGAUGGUUAUCAAUGCAACCAAAUGUAUUUCUCAACAAAACUCCUACUUGACCCUUGUAGUAGCUGAGAUCAAGACCAUAGCAACUUCAUUUUCUUCUUGGGACGAAUAUAAGUGUAAUGGUAUGAGGGCAAGUGCCCUCACUUAAUUUUGGAAAAAACAUUCGAAAAAAAAUUGAGGGGUAAAAGUAUGUGGUUUUUUAUGGCUCCUUUGAUAAAAAAAAGACCUCACUUAUGUUCCACAUUGCUAAAUGCCCUCACUUGUGUCUCACACUGCUAAAUGCCCUCACUUGAGUAGUAAAAGUAUGUGUUUUUUUAUGAUCUAUUAGGUAAAAAAUGUCAUCACUUGUGUCCCCUUUGGUAAAAAAAUGUCCUCACUUUUAAUAGUAUAUGUAAAAAAACUUGUUUCUUGCCCUCACUACAUCAAAUUUCUGGAUCCGUUAAUUCUUCUAUUUACUUCAUGUCUAAAGGCCAGAGAUGCUAAUAUAGUAGCUCAUUAUUUAGCAAAACUCUCUUAUUUUCAUCCAAACUCAUUUUGGCUUGAAGAUAUUACUAUUUUUUGUAUUCUUGUAUUUGCUCGGAUAUUCUACCGUUGAUUUUCUGAUGAAAUAUCAUCUUACCAUAAAAAAACCUCAAUUAUUAAGUAAUUAAAAAGAUCAAAUUACUACAAUUAAAAUAUGAUUGUGAAAAGAGUCCACCAUAGCUGCACCUAGGUUUUCAUAUUGCCAUUUGCCACCCACUAGAGCCCUAUGGUUUAAAUAUGUUUCGAUCCUGACUUUUUAAGAGGAAUCAAAUUGGGACCCUGGAAAAAAAAAACUUCAAAAUGUCAUCUUUGAAAAUUUGUUUUAAUCAAAUUAAGUCAUUUUGCUUACGUGUCUUCAAUUUAAGUCAUUUUGCUUACGUGUCUUUAAAAAUUUGUUUUAAUCAAAUUAAGUCAUUUUGCUUUCACCGUCUUCCUCUUCUUCUCCCCACUUCUUCCAUUUUCUCCAUAGCUCAAAUCCUCAAACCAAAAAAUUCUAGAAAUUCAUCCCAAGUCACCUUCUCCUUACUCCAACCCAUACCAAAACAAAGCAACUCCAAACCCUCUUUUCCCAUUUUAACAAAAAAUAAGAACCAAAAACCAUUAUCAUCAGCCCAACAUAAAAAGGAACGAUUUUUGUACACAACAUCUCAUCCCCAACGUUCCAGAAAACCCAAAAAAGUUGUAAUCACUCACUCAUUACAACUUUGGGUUUAUUAAUUUGGUGUUAGUAAUUAUGGAUCCAAAAAAUCUACCAUAAAAAGGAAUGUUUUUUAAGGAAGAUCCAACAAAAUGAGGGUUUGGAGUAGAUGAAAUGCCACACUUGGCAGAAACCCAAGGUCUCAGAGUUGCACUUCCUCUUCAUGGAGGAGGACGACAACGGAGGCUUCCUACCGGUGAUCUGAAAAGCCCUUGCCGGCGGCGCAGACAACAAUGGUGCUUGGAGAAAAAGUGUUUGUUUGUUGUUAUUCUUGGUUUAAAUGUGUAACAGAGGGUUUGAAGUUGUUUUGUUUUGGUUUAGGUUGGAGUAAAAAGAAGGUGACUUGAAAUGAAUUUCUGUUUGUAAAUUUGAGCUAUGGAUGAAAUGGAAGAGGAAGAGGAGGGACUUAAAUUAAUUAAAGUAGAGUAAAAUACACUCCCCUCCCUUGAGGUUUGCCAAUAUAACACUCAGCCUCAUUCUUAAUUAAAAUCUACACUCCACCCCACCUACUCUACCAAGUUAACUACAUCUUAAAAGAUGCUCACGGAAUAUUCUCUUUAAUUCCAAACUAAUAGAUUUAAAUUUUUAAAUAAUAAAAAAAUCUUUUAUUAUUAUUUUUAUUUAAAAAGUUUAAGAAAUUUACGAUUAAUAUUUUUAUAAUAAUCUAUUUUAAACUAUUUACUGUAUUAUAUUUUGACGAAAGCUACAAAUAUUCUCACAAUAUAAUUUAUGAUAUUAUAUGAUUUUUUUCUUCAUAAAAUUCAUCUUGGAUUAUAUAAUUUCAAGAUAUAUGAAUUAUAUUUUAAUUUUAUAUUGGUACAUUGAAAAGAUAAAUUGCAACUGCCCAUACCCAACUCAUAUAUCCCCAAGCUCUUACCACUUGAGCUAUCAUUGGAGGACAUACAACAUCAUGUGAUUGAGAUUACUAAGAAUUUAAAUCCAUUUUUGUAGUUAACUUGUUAGAUUGAGUGGGGUGGAGUGUAGAUUUUGGUUAAGAAUGAGGCUGAGUGUCAUUUUGGCAAACCUGAAGGGAGGGGAGUGUAUUUUACUCAUUAAAGUAUUUUAGAGGGAUCAAAGCUCAUGCUAAAAAGCUCAUGUAGUCACUCUUUAGGUAAUUAGGUUCAUCACUUUUUAUUUUGAUAAGCACAAACUUAUGAAAUUAGGCUCACCACCUAACGGUUGACUAGUUAAAAUUAAUGACACAUAAGUAAAAUGACUUAAUUCGAUUAAAAAAGUUCGUAGAACUUCAAAGAUUUUUUUCCAACUAGCUAGCUAAUUUGAUUUAUUUCAAAGUUAGGAACCUAAAAUAUAUUUAAACGGACUCGUAUCUAUAAAUGCAUGUUGUCGAGGAACAAACUAUAUUAAUGGGAAUAUACAAGAAAUUAAAUCCAUAUUAAUCUUUUAAAUUACAAAUUCAGCAGUCUGUUUUGGAACUCUAUAGCUCAUAGAACUGAAGGAGUAUCCUUAUCCUUUCUCACACGUUGGGACUAUGGGGAUUUGGACACCUUUGACUAAGUUUUUUCUUUGGAGCAUACGUUCAAUUCAGGUUCUCAAUAUUUGACUCAAAGUUCACGUUCUCCACCGUCAACACGAGGACAAAGACCUCAAAUAUAAACAGCGGGGAGACCAAGACAUUAAUUAGUAGAUAUAAAUUUCGUAUUUCAUAUUUUUUUUUAUAAGCCAAACUGUAUUUAAUUUCAGCACAAGAAGUGCUAAAUCUAAAUACAAAAGAAUGAUGAGAAGUAGCCAAAAUACUACAACCCAAAAAGUACUGAGAAACAUACUAGAAGGAAAAAACAUACUAAAAGUAUUGAUCCCAACCACCUGAUGUUACACAAGGAAUAGGUGCUAGAACCAUGAGCUACCCCAACGAGAAUGAAACCCAAUAUAAGUGACCCAUUACAAUAAAAUAAGGUACCAAUCAAAGGAUCAGACUUCCCACCACUAUGGAAAGAGAAAGUUCUUUCUGCAUAAGUCCAAAGCAGCAAACAGCAAGGUAAUAUGGUAUCAUCUCAUGCCCACAAAUAUAACAAGCAAGUCCACGCUACCCACCUCCACAAAUUAGAGUCCUUGAACACAUAAGACAGGGUUAUUAUACCACUCAAAUAGAGAAUUUCUGAAAUUAUGCAGAUUUGACUUGUUCCAGAGCCAAGAUCUCCACUUAAUCAAUUCUAACACUGUUGAAAAAUCCAAAUUUCCCCCUCUAAAAACCACCUCAUUUCGUAUUUCAUAUGUAUCACAAAAAUUGAUAAGUAGUAACUUACACGUACAGACACUUUCAAAAAAAAAGAACUUACACGUACAGAUAUACUAAAUUAGAACUUUGCUUUUCAUGUUUUUUUAUCUAUAGUAGUACAGUUCUAACUACCCAACUCACUUCUUCAAUUAACCACUUGCUUUCCAUUUCCUGGUUGGUAUUACGCGCGCGACACGUCUUUUUUUUUAAUACAAUUACACUGCAUAAUUAAUAAUGAAAUAAAUAAAUUGGAAUUGCUUAUAUAUAGAAACAAAACACUUAUGAUUGCUUUGGUGGUAUUGUUUUUUUAUUCAAUUUGGUGAAAUUAUUUAUGAAAAAUCUAUGAAACCUGUUUACAGAAAAAGUUAAAUUGCAUAUAAAAAAAUGUUUUGAAUAAGUUAGUCCCAUUAGAGUGAAUUUUGUUGCUAAUAAUUUGUCAUUUUUGUUUUCAUGACAAUAACUAAUCUUGGUGGUAUCCCCUUUUUCACAAUCCAAUUUUCCUUUUUCUGCUUUGCUUGGAGAAUAUUGAGCCGAUUUUUCAAAAUUGUAUGAAGUUUGGUAAUAUGAAAAUUCAUAGGGAAUAAGAAAUUGUCUGAAUCAUCUAUGAGAAUGAUUUAACUUCAUCCUAAAUAGACUAAUAGAAUUUAAGAUAAGUAAGGUAAAAAAUUUCACAAAAUUUUAUAUAUUUUUAUAAAAUAUCACAUUGGUCCAUCAAGGUGAGUGAUCUAGGCGACCUAGAGAAUAAUUAAGAUGUAUUUCAAAAUGUUAAUAGUAAUAUGUUAUAUUUUGAUUUAAUUUUACAAGUUUAUAGGUGUAUAUUGCCCCCACAGUCCAAAAUUAUUCCUCAAUCCGUCACUGCGUACAAUUAUUUCACUUAAAUUUUGUGCAUAUCACUUAACUAUAGAACAUAAUAACAUUUGGUAACGGUAAGAGUGAACAGAAAUGAAUUGAACGUAAUACAAUGUAACAAGAUAAUGAUGUUUUGUAUAUUGUAUUUGGUAAUUGCAAGUCAUUACAAUAGAAUCAUAAAUUUAAUUAUAUAUAACUAAAUAUGUUUAAAUUUUUUGAUUGAGCAUAAAAAAAUAACUCAACCAAAUAUAUAUAUAUAUAUAAUUUUGCAAAAACUAUCAUAUACAAGUUUAAUCAUAAUUAAUAUUUUAGUUUAUAAUAUUAUAUUAGCACCAAAUUUAUAACACAACUGUAAAAUUUUUAAACAAUGGGUAUUAUUUGAUUAUUAAUAUAGUUUUUUUUACACAAACCUUGAAUUCUAAAUUAGGAAAAACAUAUGAGUAUUGGAGAAAGAGAAUAGUUUGAGUGACCUUGUGAGGGCUGAGAUACAACGUGUAAGGAAAUGGGGUCCAUGGCUAACCAUGCACUCAAAAGCUCCUUCAUAAGGACUUUCCUUGGACAUGCAUAGGUAAUGACAAUGUGCCCCGAGUUUAUAAAAACAAGUACAAUUUGGUCGUUCGAUUCAAAAAUAUGUUAUUCAUUCUAGCACAACUUUGAUUACUUCUAAGACUCAGAGUUUCUCUCCUUACUCUCUCACUGACUUGAGCAUUAGAUUGUCUUCUGUAGAUGAAGAUGAACUCCCACUACUACAAAAAAGACGUUGGGUAGCGGUUCCACGGCCGGGCGGUGCUAAACUGAGCGGAGGAUUUCAAGAUGAGAGCUUACCCUUUCGUUGAGGAAGAAGGAUACAAAACUACCUACGGAACAACUUUCACUGAAGAAAUUCGAUCCUUGGAAAUAUCACGAGGAAAGCUCGAAAAAUUGUAAGUUGAUUCCGUUCUAAGAAAGGUGAGUUUGAACAGCAUGUGAACUCCUUUGUUGGACGUAUGGAAGUCAUGGGAUUUGUGGGCUCAAAUGAAGCAAAUGCUCUAGUUUGCAAAACUUUCUUGUCUCCAUUGAAGGGAAAUGCUCUGAGCUAGUUCAAAUCCCUUAUCGCAUUUCCGUUGAAGAUUGAGAAGAGUUCACUCAGCUAUUCUUUCAUGGAUUUUCUAGACAAACUAUAAGAAAGCAUCCAAAGCCAAAACAUGCAUCAAAGAAAUGUGCGUUGACCAAGUAAUUAGGUAGAGGAGGGAUGAACCUCUGAGUAAUUUUUUACCACACUUCCAUAGAGAAGUUGCAGUUCAGCUUUGUCUAGGAACGUAAGAGAUUCUUAAAAUGAUCAGAGAUGCGAUCCUACAUGGAACCUCCUUCCAUGCGUCAUUGAUAAGGGUGCCGAAAAGAAUCAUGUAGUUGAUUACCGCACACGAAUAAGAAUUCUAUAUAUGGAAAUGGGAUUGCACAAUCAUAUUUCAAAUUUCAUACAAACAAACACGCAAGAGGGAAUAAGGAUUACAUGUUGAAGACGUGAGAAACGAAGCAGUACGUAGCAGCUUCGUCUCUACAAAAGUCCACGCGAACGCUCCGACUAGAAAAUCUUUGCGGCUCGAUGUGCUAGCGGAGCCAAGAGUAUGAGCAUAGUAUCAAACUAGGGGUUGAGCAUCUCACACUCUAUCUAUAAGCCCUCAAAGGAAGCACUUACAAAGUUUCUAACCCUAAUUCUUAUUCAUGCAUAAACGACUCAUCCACUGAACCUGGAGAUGAACUGGAUCUAAUAAGAUAAUAUAAUACAUUCUAGUGGGUUAAUUCUAUCUGUGUAAUCAUAUAGGUAUCUCUUGCAUAUACAACCUUAAAGUAUCAGUUAUAUAGGAACGGAGGGAGUACUACUAAUGGUGGUGCUCCACUACCAAUAAAUGCAAGGGUGAAUAUGGAAAGAAAUAUUAACUUUUGCAAGGUUAGCUUAUAUUUAGUGACACAAAAAAAGUCUCAAUGUUAGCUUAUAAUUAGGGACGGAGGGAGUAAUAAUUAAAUUAAGCUACCAGUGUAUAAUCCAACAAAUGCCACCAGUCAGCUUGACUAAAUUCUAGGCUCGAGCGAUGGAGUAUGAAUAUGAGAUUACUCUGCAUCGAUGAAAGAGAAAGAUUCAUCUUCUACAGGGAAGUUGUAUUGAAGGAAAAGAGGCUCUGUAUCAAUUGAAUAGCAAGCUCGAAAAAUUUCGAUUGAAUUUCCUAAGCUACCUGGAAGAAGAGGAAGGUACUAGUCAGGAAAAGAACUUUGAUUUCCAGUUGAUAAUCCAAGCCAUGAUUGGUGGAAGAGAAUUUGAAGAUGUCAUGGUCGAUCUUCGAAGUGCCAUAGGCCUGAUGUCUUAACAAAUAUUUUGUGAGAUGUAAUGAAAUAACACAAGAAAGGGUUUGAAUUGUGUUCUUAUAAAACUUUGCUUUUCAAAAUAUUAUUAUUUUUAAAAGCUUUUUCACAAACAUUUAGUGCAGCGGAUAAAAGAGCAGAAUAGUUAAUGAUAGAGACACAUGCUUUUUAACCUGGUUCACCCCUAAACGAUGAGGUUACGUUCAAUCUUUGGCUAUAGCAAGAUUUCACUAAUCAAGUAUCAACGACUUCUCCUACAAGUAUUCUCAAGGACUUCUCCUACAAGUAUUCUCAAGGCCUUAUCCUAACAAAGUAUUAUCAAUGACUUCUCCUUAAUCAAGUAUUAUCAAGGACUUCUCCUACAAUAUUUCUCAAUAUUGUUUGCUUCUACAAAUUUCUCUUCUCACAAGAGGGACAGUAGAAAAUUUAUGAGCACGGUAACUACAAAGUAGAUUUGACUCUGAGAAAUACUUUGAGUAUAGAUCUAGAGAGAAUAGGAUGUAAAGGCUUGACUCUUAAGGUUUGUUCUUUUCGACGAUGUGAGGACUUUUUCGAUUUUUCCUUGAUGGAGAUUUCUAAGUUAGAGAAAAAGUUCUUGCGUUGAUAAUUCUUGUUUCUGAAAAUCUUCAAGUCCUCCUUUUGUACUUCAAGUGCUUCUAGGGUUUGUUUAGAGCUAUUGGAGCGUGUAGAGCUCAACAAGUUCUAGCCGUUUGAUCAAACAGUCCUUUCGUCAGGUGCAUAAAAUGCAUUGUACCCUUUGACUGAGACUUGUUACCACAAAGAUGUAUCUUGUCAACCGGUAGGUAGCACUUGAACUUUGUUCCAUUCCUUUAGAGAGAGAGAGAGAGAGUCGAUUGUGACAACAUUGCACUUGUUUCCUUGGUCAGUAUGCAAUAUGCUUUGUAGAGUAUCACAUGAUCCUUUUGCACUCGGCUUUAUCUCCAAGCAUGUCAGAGAUAUUUUCUAAUUUGAAUAUGGCGCUCAUUCUCCGAACAAUAAUUUCAUUGGUCAGCUUGAGAUAGACGAUGGAUGUAUUCAAUAGGUGUAGUCUUCUCUUGAGCAGACGGUCUAGUAGCUUUGACCAUUCUUCUCUUAUGCAGUAGCGUUGUCUUGAGUUUAUCAUCAGACAAUAUAGGAUAUGGACCAUAAGUGAUGUUUUUUGAAACACAAUUCAUAUGAAAUUUUUAACCAUUACACUUAUAUCCUUGAAAUUGUUAUCAUUCAAAAUAUGAUAAACGAUAUGAAUAACGUUUGAACUUUACAAAAGGUGUUCAAUAGGUUUAGAAUAAGAAAAGGUAUCACUAAGCUUAUAUAUGAAGGUGACAACUUUGACCUCUUGUCUUAAAAUGACUAGUGCAGGCUCGUUAAUCGUUGGAUCGAGCUAAAAUUUUGACAAUACAUUGAUCUUCGUUCGGACUACUGGGAUCAUCAAUCCAAUAUCUAUGUUAAGAGAAACACCCAUGCAAGUAGCAUCCACAUCUUCUUUUCAAAUAACUUUAUCUUCGAAAUCUGUUUCGAUCUUCAUUUGAAAUACCUUUAUCUUCCAAAUCCACCUUCAAAUUCUUUUUAUCUACUCAUAUUUUAUAAAAAAAACCAUAAAAUUAUCUAAUAAAUCAAUUAAAAUAAUAAAUUAACUUUAAAAUACAAAUAUGCAUGUCAUAAGUCCUAAUUGCUUAAAAAUGACUAAAACACCCUAAUUAGUUAAACUAAAUGAAAAAUAACUAGAAAAAUAUACAUAAACCUCGAGUAAACACACAACAUCAAUCUGUCUCCCAAUCAAGUGGGGACUUUCCUGCCAACAAAAUUGAAAAGAAAAGAUGCUCAAAAUAAAUCUUUAGGUCGAUCAGUGAACUCUCAGUGUGGAGGUUGGAGGGGGGGUGGGGGACUAUAAGCUAUUGUGAAAACUCUUACCCGCACUUUCUUGUUGAUUCUCACUUGCACUUACUAAAGCUCACACUUGCACUUACUAAAGCUCAAUCACUCUCCUAACUUGUCAUUUGAAUGAACUAAUUGGACAUGAUCUUUUCAUGUGUCUUGUGUAAAUUAAUAGUCUUGCAAGUUUCUUGAAGUAAUGAUCUUAUGUAUGAGGACAAGCUAACUAGAGCGAUUACACUUGAGGAUCACAAGUUGACGUCUUAGUAUAUGGUAUGUUAACCCGGUGAUAUUAAGGAUAUUUUCUAAGCAUAUUUCACUUUAUUAAAUAUGUCAAUUCAGUCUUUUAUUGCUUUUUAGUCUUAAAUUGUAUUUUUUGUAUUUUUUGUAUUUUUUAUUGAUUUUUAUCUAUUUGCAGGUUUUCACUGAAGNNNNNNNNNNNNNNNNNNNNNNNNNNNNNNNNNNNNNNNNNNNNNNNNNNNNNNNNNNNNNNNNNNNNNNNNNNNNNNNNNNNNNNNNNNNNNNNNNNNNNNNNNNNNNNNNNNNNNNNNNNNNNNNNNNNNNNNNNNNNNNNNNNNNNNNNNNNNNNNNNNNNNNNNNNNNNNNNNNNNNNNNNNNNNNNNNNNNNNNNNNNNNNNNNNNNNNNNNNNNNNNNNNNNNNNNNNNNNNNNNNNNNNNNNNNNNNNNNNNNNNNNNNNNNNNNNNNNNNNNNNNNNNNNNNNNNNNNNNNNNNNNNNNNNNNNNNNNNNNNNNNNNNNNNNNNNNNNNNNNNNNNNNNNNNNNNNNNNNNNNNNNNNNNNNNNNNNNNNNNNNNNNNNNNNNNNNNNNNNNNNNNNNNNNNNNNNNNNNNNNNNNNNNNNNNNNNNNNNNNNNNNNNNNNNNNNNNNNNNNNNNNNNNNNNNNNNNNNNNNNNNNNNNNNNNNNNNNNNNNNNNNNNNNNNNNNNNNNNNNNNNNNNNNNNNNNNNNNNNNNNNNNNNNNNNNNNNNNNNNNNNNNNNNNNNNNNNNNNNNNNNNNNNNNNNNNNNNNNNNNNNNNNNNNNNNNNNNNNNNNNNNNNNNNNNNNNNNNNNNNNNNNNNNNNNNNNNNNNNNNNNNNNNNNNNNNNNNNNNNNNNNNNNNNNNNNNNNNNNNNNNNNNNNNNNNNNNNNNNNNNNNNNNNNNNNNNNNNNNNNNNNNNNNNNNNNNNNNNNNNNNNNNNNNNNNNNNNNNNNNNNNNNNNNNNNNNNNNNNNNNNNNNNNNNNNNNNNNNNNNNNNNNNNNNNNNNNNNNNNNNNNNNNNNNNNNNNNNNNNNNNNNNNNNNNNNNNNNNNNNNNNNNNNNNNNNNNNNNNNNNNNNNNNNNNNNNNNNNNNNNNNNNNNNNNNNNNNNNNNNNNNNNNNNNNNNNNNNNNNNNNNNNNNNNNNNNNNNNNNNNNNNNNNNNNNNNNNNNNNGGCUCUUUUAGGCACUUGAAUAUUUCCUAACUGUUCCGGUCCAUUUACGGUUAUUGCUUCUGUGAACAUAGUGGCUAAAUAACUGAUUUAUGUAUAGGGUUCCAUUCGACUCAUGGUUGGGAACUACUGAUUGGGUCCGUCUAUAAAGAUUUUGGAUUUAUUCAGAAUGAUCAAAUUAUAUCUGGUCUUGUUUGUACUUUUCCAGUGAUUUUAGAUACAAUUUUAAAAUAUUGGAUUUUCCGUUAUUUAAAUCGUGUAUCUCCUUCACUUGUAGUAAGUAAUAAUCAAGUACGACUAUGUCCGGAUCAUUGUCAUUUUAUGCAUCCUACUAUUUCCCCCGAUACUUCGAAUUUAUUAGCAAAAAAGCGAAGAAAUAGAUUCAUUAUUCCAUUUCUAUUCCGAUCAAUUCGAGAACGAAACAACGAGCUAAUGCCCGAUAUCUCGGUUGAAAUACCUAUCGAUGGUAUUAUUCAUAUAAAAAUGUAAGAUUUAGUUACGAUUAGAUAUAAACUUUCUAUAUCUUUAUUCCAUGGAUCCUUUACUUAUACUUAAAAAAUUGGAAUUCUUGAUCCAAUAAAAAAAAUUUAUGUUGCAUAAUUUUCGAAUGAAAUUUGUCAAUAAAUGGAUUAUUAUUGUUUGAGCGAAAUGCGGCAAAAGGAACGAAAAUCCAUGGACCGACCCCAUCGUCUCCACCCCGUAGGAACUACGAGAUUACCCCAAGGACGCCUUCGGCAUCCAGGGGUCGCGGACCGACCAUAGAACCCUGUUCAAAAAGCGGAUAAAGAUUCAAAAAAGAAUCGAUCUGAUUCAAGUCAUAAUCUAUAUGGGAUUUCCAAAGUUAUUAAUAGACGGUAAGCCUCGAAGAAUCGAAGAAUUACAGAUAAAUGUGAAAAAAAAAUGAAUUAUGUGAAUAGAAAACUCAACAUAGCUAUUACAAGAAUUGCAAAUGCUUAUAGGGAUCCUAAUACUCCAUUAGGUAGGAUCUUUGUUGCCCAAGCACAUAUUUGUUGAGGAGAAACUGAUCCAAUUCGGGUGUCGCCUGGAUCUGCAAGAAAGAUAAUUGAAAUACUAUAUUCGGUUUUGUUGAUAGGAGAAAACUGGAAACUGCUUUUUACAGUGGAAGCGAGCACAGGAAAGGGACUCUCGAAACUUGUUUUAUUCUAAAUUUUAAGAUUCGUGAAAGGGCUCUCUAUUGAUUCAAACUCUAUGUACUUUUGAUCGAAAAAUCAAUCUGAUUUAUUUUUUACCUUUCGCUCAAUGAGAAAAUGGGUUAGAUUCUACAGGAAACUUAAGGAAUGAUGGAAGAAAUAAAAAAGAAAAAGAAAGUGUUCAAUAAGAAAAUAAUAAAAGAAAGAUUUGUGAACAAUAAUGAAAUAAUUCCUUCAUAUUGAUAGAAAUAGAAAGAAAAAAUUGAAAAAUUAUCAUAUAAUAAUCCAAAAAUUGCAAUAAUAAUCCAAAAAUUGCAAUAGAAAAGAAAAGAGAGGUUUGCGAUGAUUUUUCAAUCUUUUAUACUGGAUAAUCUAGUAUCCUUAUGCCUCAAGAUAAUUAAUUACAAUAAUUAUGUAUUUGGCAAAUCAAAUACCAUGGUUUAAUAACAAAUCAUUCGGAUUAAUUGGACAAUUUGUAUCUAUAUGCAUUAGGAUCCCGAUUCAUAGAUCUCUCGGUUCGAGAAAUCAAAAUAAGAGAAUCGAACCAUUUCUUCUGACUCUUUUUUUUUCAAAUUUGAGAAAUGUUGGUUGAUCGUGUAUUUCAUUCUAGUUCUAUGUUUCAGAGUAUCAUUCUCUAUUUGAUACCUUUGAAUUCAAUUCCAUUUUUCAAAAAGAAGAUUUAAUUGAGUAUCGAGGAAUAAGGAAAUUUAAACCAAAAUACCAAAUCAAAGUAGAUCGAUUUUUUUUCAUUCCCCAAGAAGUGCAUAUUUUAUCCGAAUCUUCUUCCAUAAUGGUCCGGAACAAUAGUAUCAUUGGAGUAAAUACACCAAUCACUUUAAAUAAAAAAAGGGUUUUUCGAUUUUUUAUAUGGUUCCGCAUUUUAAAAAACAAAAAAACGAUUUAAGUACAGUAAUUGCACCUAGUGUUAUUUUUACCCAAGGCUUUGCUACUUCGGGUCUUUUAACCGAAAUGCAUCAAUCUGUAAUAUUAGUACCCGCUUUACAAUCCCAUUGGUUAAUGAUGCACGUAAGUAUGAUGAUCUGUCUAACCAAAUCCAAUUCUCUCUCGAUAUGUUCCUUAAAAAAUCUGAUUCGUGCGGCUGCUUCUUCCCCCAACUAACGAAGAGAUCUUGGCGGAAUUGCCACAUAUGAAAUUGAGCACAAUUUUGCAAAGAAAUAGCCCGCUUGUUCCUCAAGAAGAUUUUGUAGCUGAAUACAAACGUUUCUUCCCCCCCCCCCCCACAUGGCUAAAAGUAGAUAAACGGGAAUUAAUUCCAAUUUCCACAUGAUGAAGAAAAGUAAAAUGUCUCGAGAAGGAGUUACGGGUUUUUUUUCUACCAAUAGGGGCCCUCCCUUCACCCCCCCCCCCCCAUGGGGGUGGUCUAUACAGGGUUCAUAACCACUCCUCUUACUACAUGACGCUUACCUUACAAUUUUGACUGCCCAAUAACCAAUUUGGUCCCAAGGUAAUGAAUAACCAGUUACACCAAAAGAUGCGGUCAAUACACCCAAAACCACACCAGUAACCCAAGUCAAUUCGCGAGGUUUUUUAAAACCACCAGUAAGAUAACCUAAGGGUUUUCUUAUUGAUGAUAGUGACGAUAUUGACGAUAUUGAUGAUAGUCACGAUAUUGACGAUAUUGAUGAUAGUAAUGAUAGUGACGAUAUCGACCAAAGAGAUCCACGGGGCGGUUUGUCCAGAUAUUCACGACCAAGAAGUACUGAAUUCUCUUUCUCUUUUCGGAUAGACCCUUGAAAGGAGAAGGAAGGAUAGAAUGCCAACAGGCGUCUAUUAUUGAAUUCACGCGAACCAUAAUGCUAAUUACCCUAUCACAUUUAAUGUUUGGCUAAAAUAUUACAUAAAAUAACUUCUUUCCAUAUAUAUUAUUUUAUAAUAAUUAUCAUAUAAAAUCUAAUAAUCAUUAUAUUAGUGUAAAAGACUAAAAGGAUGUGCUCUCCAUUUACCUUCGAGUAAUUGGCAAUCUUAAAAAGAAAAGUGAAUGGGACAUGACAUUUGCGCUCUGUUCGGUGUUUAUUAUAAUUUUAAUGUGAACAUGACAAAGGCUCUUAAGUAAAACAUAUUAGUAUUUUGUAAUAGGAACUAGACAUGAUAGAACAUAUGGAACCAAACGUGACAAGAAUGAACAACAACAAUUAAUACGCACUGUGUUUACUUGAUGAACGUUAGAUAGAAGAAAACCAUAAUGUUAAUUAAAUAUAUACGCUAUCACAUUUAAUGUUUGACUAAGAAUAUUAAAUAAAAUAACUUUUAUCAUAUAUAUUAUUUUAGAGUAAAAUACACUCCCCUCCCUUGAGGUUUGCCAAAAUGACACUCAACCCCAUUCUUAACCAAAAUCUACACUCCACCCCACUCAAUCUAACAAGUUAACUACAUGUUAAAAAAUGCUAACAGGAUAUUCUCUUUAAUUCCAAACUAAUAAAUUUAAAUAUUUAAAUAAUAAUAAAAUUAAAAAAUUCGGUUUAUUACUUUUAUUUCAAGAAGUUUAAGAUAUUUACAAUUAAAUAUUUUCACAAUGUUGUAUAGGAAUAUCAAUAACAUUUAAGUUUACAAAUAUAAAUUUAGACUAAACAAAUACUUCUAUUUUUCUUUUAACUUAUUUUCAUGAUUAAUUGUACUAACAAAAUUUCAUGAUUAAUUAGAUGAUAUUUAUUCCAAUGAAAAGCCCAAAAACAAAUUUAUGAUUGUUCUAGUCACCUUCUCAAUUAGUAUAUUAUUAGCUUCAUAGAUUGGUUGCACUUGCAACAUGCAAUAUUAUCUUAGCAAAUAAAAUGCGAAAUGCAACAAAUAACAGAUGAUUAUUACGUGAGGUGCUUGGUCUACUAGAAUAACUGAAUGAGGUAUAGUUUUAUAUCUCAAAAAAAUGGAUUUAAAUUCUUAGUAAUCUCAAUCACAUGAUGUUGUAUGUCCUCCAAUGAUAGCUCAAGUGGUAAGAGCUUGGGGAUAUAUGAGUUGGGUAUAGGCAGUUGCAAUUUAUCUUUUCAAUGUAUCAAUAUAAAAUUAAAAUAUAAUUCAUAUAUCUUGAAAUUAUAUAAUCCAAGAUGAAUUUUAUGAAGAAAAAAGUCAUAUAAUAUCAUAAAUUAUAUUGUGAGAAUAUUUGUAGCUUUCGUCAACAUAUAAUACAGUAAAUAGUUUAAAAUAGAUUAUUAUAAAAAUAUUAAUCGUAAAUUUCUUAAACUUUUUUAAAUAAAAAUAAUAAUAAAAGAUUUUUUUAUUAUUUGAAAAUUUAAAUCUAUUAGUUUGGAAUUAAAGAGAAUAUUCCGUGAGCAUCUUUUAAGAUGUAGUUAACUUGGUAGAAUAGGUGGGGUGGAGUGUAGAUUUUAAUUAAGAAUGGGGCUGAGUGUCAUAUUGGCAAACCUUAAGGGAGGGGAGUGUAAUUUACUCUAUAUUUUAUUACUUGUUUAUAGUAUGUGUAUGUAUCUCAUGUAUCUCAUAAAACUAAGUGAAUUGAUAUUUCAGUUUUGUACUUUGUCCCCAAAUUGUUGCUUGUUCAAUUAUCAACUCUUGUGAGUGUAAAAAACUCAUAUUGGUACGUCCCUACGGCUUAGUGGACUGAUAAUGGAGUAUUUGAUUAGUCAUUUUUGACUGUCAGCUAUGAGAAUACCUUCGUUAAAACCAAAAAUAAAAUUACCCCCAUGGCUCAAGUUUUGGAUCUUUUUUUUUGGUUACUCAAGUUUUGGAUCUAUCACUAUCACUAAUUAUAAUAAUAAUAAUAAUAAUAAUAAUAAUAAUAAUAAUAAUAAGAAUAAUAAUAAUAAUAAUAUUUAUUACUACUACUACUACUAUUAUUAUUAUUAUUAUUAUUAUUAUUAUUAUUAUUAUUAUUAUUAUGAGAUGAUAAUGAUGAACAAUAUUUUGAAGAAAAUUGUGAUUGUGAUGGUGAUGGUGAUGAGCUUAAUGGGGAAAUUAUACUUGGUUUGAGUUGUUGGGUUCUCAGCAGGAAUGUCAAAAUUGAGUUUGGAGAGGUUUAAACCUGUGUGAAAUCUUUUAGUUUCUAAAAAUUAAACCAAAUAAGAUAAGUUUAAGAAAACCUUCUCCCCACCUUCAUCCAAACACCAUAUUAGUGAGUGAGUCAUAUACAAUUAGAAUCUAAAACCCUAGAAAAUAGUCAUUUUUAUCUUCAACGUUGCAACCCAACCUCUUAUUUUCACUCAUUUUAUCCUUUGAUUAUCCUAGUUGUCCCAUCCGCCUUCUUGUUUGUCCCUUUUUUUCAUUCCUCAUUGUUCAUUUCUCCUCGUUCAUCUCCCAAUUUUACAAUAUAUUUUAUAGUUAUGUAAGUUGCAUGAAAGUAAGGCUCGUGCUAUGUCAUCUAGCUUUAAUUUUCUUGAUUUAAGUUUUGUUCAUCGUACUGGUAAUAAUGUAGCAGACUUUUUAGCUCGUAAUGCUUUAGAUUUUGACCAAUGUGUUUAGGUGGAGAAUGUUCCACCGGCCGUUAUGGAAUUUGUAACUCGUGACUUGUUGCCCGAUGAGUGUUUGAUUUAGUCUUAAUUUAAUGAGCAGUUUAAGAAAAAAGUUGCAUGAAAGUAAUAGAAUUCCUUAAUUGCCUACUAUAGGGAGAAGCUAUCAUAUCUUAAUAUAUAUUUACUUAAUAUAUAAACGAAGUUUUUUUUUAGUAACCUUGAAGCCAAGGUAAGAUAAUAAUUCAAUAAAUAAGUAUAUAUGACUGACUUUUUUCAAUGGUCAUACUCAUACCUAUAAAUAUGUAAAUAAUUAAAAAUGAAAUCAAUCAUGAUUUGAUUAAAAGAAGACUGACGCAUACAAUUCAGUAACCUCAAAGAAAUGCAAGUGGUGUUGCAUGACAUUUGUGAAAGAUACCCUCAGGUGGAGCUAUAUCUAAAAAGUACACUAAUGCACAAUGUUGUUGAUCUGUUGGAGGAACCCAAGGGAGAUGUUAAAAAGGAAUCCAUUGAACUACAUAUCGAAGAACUUGAAACCGCACUUUCUAAAGUGGAUUCCUAGAUGAAAUUUCUUCCUGCUACCGUGCAAGUGUAUUUCAUGUUAUUUUUUGCUUGAGGAAUUCUCUUUCUGAGGCGUGCUGGUGCUUAAAGGUGAAGAAGGAGGGUUGAAGAAGAUAGAUAUGAAUCAAAAGACACUGCACAAGACCAAUGCUAUAGGAAGUCUAGCAUGCGAAACCUCAUAAUGCAACACAUGGACAAAACUGAAGAGAGGUUCAAGGCACUUGAGACCCAUAAACGAUGUAAGACAUACUUCCAUAUAGAACAAAGCUCAAUCCGAAAGAGGAAGCCAAAGAAACCACACUUGUCAGCAAUACAAUGAUCUAGACAUCUAAAGCAACAAAUGAGAAACUUGAUUCUGCUUCAGUAUUGCUGGAUGGAACUCCUACUGAAGGGAGUGAAAGAGAGUCUCAAGAAGGAGGUAGAGGCAAAAUAUGAUCAUGCCUAGACUAGGGGUAAAGGAUUAAGUCUCUAACUCUGACAUGUUUCUUAUGUACAAUAUUCUGAAUAAGAUCCCAUCAACUUGCCCCGGAUGUUGUUGACAGAGAUUGAAAAAUCCAUCAACAAAGACAAGGUUUAGAUGCUUCCCUAUUGAACAAUGGUAACAGCCUUGGCUAGAAACAUGGAGCAUAUGGACCAAAGUCAGAUUUGAGAUCCUCCCCACCAACAUCAACUUAAAGUCUCUCAAUGCGAUAAAGAUCCCCACAAGAAUCGAACCUAAACCUUAAGGGAAAUACAUGUAACUGUACAUAUCACUUUUCAAGGGAACAUUAACACUCUGAUUUUGUUAAAGAAUGUGAGGUAAAAGUAAAGAGAAGGAAAAUGAGAAACAAAUGGUAGCAAACUUGAUGAUUUUUUGAUUGUUUAGUAGAAAUAAAAUAGAAGAAAUGAGAACUAUUUUUUGUUUCUUCUCUUGUUUGACUGUGUAGAGUGUAAGAGGAAAGAAAAUGUGUAUAAAUAAAUUAACAAAAAUAUCUCAAAUGUAAAAUGUUUGUAUUAUGAUAUCAACACUAAGCAAAUUUAUCACUACUCCUGUAGUACUGAAUACAUCCCUCUCACAAUGUGAUAGUUAUCUUCUUGUUUUUCUCUAAUUUUAGAAAAAAAAAAAGUUAAUUUUGAAAAUAACUUACCAUCCAUGUGAGUAUCAUGCUUUAAGAUGGACGAGUAUGCACUUCAGGAGUACUGAAAAAAUCUCCUAUUAGCACUUUGUGCGAGACCCAUGAAUUAUUUUCAGUCCACUCCCUUUUCAAAAUGCAUUGAUAUUCACAUUAUCCUUCCUCUGCCUUCCAUUUCUCCCAUUUCCAGGAAAAGAUCAAACGAAGCACGAGUGUCACUGCCCACUGCUACUGCACUUUAAGCCUCCAACAACCCACCCUUGACAAGGUACUCUAAACCUUAAGCCGUGGAUAUAACAUAAAGCAAGUUCAGUAUGUCAUGAAAUGGAGAAAAGUGCUGAGGAAAUUAACAAGGAUAACAGCAUUCAACUUUUGGUGAAGGACAUUAAGGUUCAAUGCGAAAUUUGAGAUUACAAAAUGUCUAUGAAACUCAAAAGACAAUUCGAUUAGAUAGUUAAAAUCAGUGGUAAUGCCCCACAAGAGAGGAUUGAAUACACUCACUUGAAAGAAAGUGAAAAUAGUACCUAAUGAGCAAAAGUUAGAAAAGUUCUCUAAACAUUGUUAACUAUAUGAUAAAAGGAGAAAUGAAGGAUCCAACGAGAAAAAUGAAUCAAUCAAACCAAAGAUAACCUAAUUAAAUGGAGUAGAGAAAAACAUACGACAACCUCAAGGGGGGAGGGGGAGCUACUUAAGUUUACAGUGAAGGCACUGAAUUAUAUUUUUAUGAAGUCCAAGGAUGUCUAGUGUUCAAUAUAACUUGACCCCAUUCGAUAGAACGACUUGGAUAUUGUUGGACAUUAUCAAUGUAGAACAAGGUUUGAAGAAGUCUCAUACAAGCAGGAGAGAAGAAGAUGCAGAGUAGUGCAUCGUAGGAACCAAUAAGCAUUGUAAAAAGUAAAUAAAUAAAUAAUUUUUUUUUCAUUUGGUACAUAAAAAUAUAAGAAAUAAGAUUCAGUAUCAUAGAUUCAUCACUAGAAAGAUAUACAGCAGUUGACCAAAACAAAAAAUAAGAUAUACAGCAAAGUACAAAUACACAAACACGCACAUGCACGCACACAAGAAAUACUAAAUGAUCUCAUGUUCCCCUUUGGAACCACAUGGAUCCUAAUUCCUAACUAAAACAAGCUAACAAAUAAAACAACUUUAAGUAAGAUCACAUCACAUCCAAGAAACAUGAACCCAACAUCUUGUGAAUAUGUAACGAUCAUCUAGGAAUCAUCUCUGACACAAUAUCUGUACCACUAAGGUUGGUUGAGGUUUCAUGUGGAUUAUCAGAUUUUUUGUACUUGAUUACCUGAGAAGAUGAUGUCUCAUUUGAAGAACCACCAGAGUUAUGCCAUCUGUAUACUCCAGGCUCAGUCAAUGCCUUCUCGUUAAGAUGAACUUCCUUGGAAAGCAUUUCCAACACUUGCUUCAUGGCGGGUCUAUGCUUAGCUGCUGAUUGGGUGCAAAAUAAAGCAACUAUGAGGAACCGAUUCACCUGGUUCUCAUCAUAUUCAGUUAAUUCUGGAUCAACAAGCUCCAGAAACCUAUUUUCUUCUUUCAGCUUCCAAGCCUGCACACAUGAAUGCCAUGUCAGGAGAAAUAAAGAUUUUGCAACUUCUAUGCUCAACAAAAAAAAUACCAUUUUCUUUUUAGCUACAUGGCUGAUAAGAACUGGUUAAGAUGAGAAGAGAACUGAAAGAAGAAUUUUAUUGAAGAAGAAGAAAGUUCUCUGGUUCACCAGGUAUAGCAACCAGAAAAACUAUAAGAAUGAAUACACUUAUACACCAUGAAUUGCCACUUUUUUGGUUAUGACCAAUGAAAAUCUAAUAUGAAAUGUCAACAAGAUAAUACAUUUUCAGAUUAUAAAGUGAUUUUUUUUGUUGACUUAUAGACUUUUUAAAAAUUCCUGAAUAAGUUCAACCUAUGAAGACGGAAAGGCCUGAUGUAAAUCAUAUGAAUUUAGGAAGCAAUUCAUAAAUGAGCUGCUGCCAACUGGGAAAUUGUUUAUCAGUUAUCAGUCUACUAAUUUUUUUUCCAGCAGUCUUUUCUCGGUCAAAUUUCAGUUAUAGUUUGUUUUGCACAUGAGGUUUUGAAGUGGUUGGCUGAAAACCCUUCUCAAGCCCUCUUUUAGCUAAAUUAUGACUUUAUUCAUCUUUAUGUGCCCCUACGUCUCACGAAAUUAGAGACGUUAAGCUAAGAUCCUAGCAUGCAUCAAAUCAAUAUCGAUACUUAAGAAUCCAGAAAUAUACCCAUUCCACCAAAACCAAGAGAUUAUCUCCAAAUGCAGCUUUGCUGCUACUUCUACCGCUUAUUAUUUCAAGCAUGAGAAUUCCAAAACUGUAUACAUCUGCCUUCUUUGUAAGCUGUCGGAGAAGUGCAUAUUCUGGUGCAAGAUAUCCCCUGCACAGACAAAAGAAGUAAUAUUGGUUUAUAUGAUAUGGCCAAGUCUCCAAAGAUCCACAGGUUUACCCAUACUAGUAAAUUGAGUGAAGAUCAGAUAUGUCUUAGGUCUCCACAUUGCAAAAAUGCUAAUCUAGCCCAAAAAAUAUAGGGGAUUGCAAACAAUUACUUUACAGUUUUUUCUUUUGGAAAGAAGAGUUCACUUCUAGCUUGAUAAAACAUUCCUCUCCACUAUUAUUUCAGAUUUAAUUAAGGCUUUGGCCAUCCUUACCUUACAAGCUAGCAUAUGGAGUUGAAUUACCUAGUCCAAAUUCUAAGAUGUAUUUAUGUAACAAUUAAAUACUUAUUAACCAAUAAUAAAGACAGAAAUACUAGCAGCGCACAUCAAGAUGAUUAACCUGUUGUUUUGAAGCAUAUUACUAUGUCUAUUUUAGACACAAUUAAGUAAGAGUGAUUUCAUUAUGUCACAUGAAUAGAAACAUAAGUGGUUAACCUAGCCACCUAAAAGGUACUCAAGUUGUCUAUAAGAACUCAAAAGAAACCACAAAAUUUAGCCACUGAUAUUUUCUUUCUCUAAAAAUAUGUCUUAAGAUAAAUUAUGAAAUUCAAACAACCUUAUGAAAAAGGUAUAGAAAGACUUAACUAAUUUACAAGCAAUAAUCACCCAAUAUGGUAUUAUUAAUAUAAAACUAUGCAUUUUUGCUUACUCUGUUCCUGCAACACGAGUACUAACAUGAGUGACAUUGUCAGGGAAAAGCUUUGCAAAGCCAAAAUCCCCAAUUUUUGGAGUAAAGUUCUCAUCCAGCAAUAUGUUGCUGGCCUUGAUAUCUCUGUGAACAAUGUUUGGUUGAGCCUCUUCAUGAAGAAAGCAAAGACCAGAAGCAGUACCACGGCAAAUAGCAGCUCUCUUCGGCCAAUCCAGAGCAACAAGUUUACUUUUGGAACCUGUAAAAAUUUUCUCCAUUAGCACAAGCCAAUUCAUAAAUAACACUUCAAUUAAUUGAGCAUUUACACAGUAGCACAAUGCAUAUCCAACCCGUGACGUCACUUAACCCCAACCAGACAGAGAAGUCAUACUAAGCUUCAAAACUCUCCCCUUUCCCCUUCAAAAUCUUUAAUAUACAAUGUACCCCAACAUUAACCAGAGAUACUGGCCACGUGAGUCUCAUUCAAACAGGGAGAUGAUUAUAAUUUAGGAAGCGACAGAAUCCUUAACAGAUUAUAUGAUCAUGAACCAUGAUAAAAAAUGGAAAGGUUGAACAACCGUUGAAAUUGGAAAAGAUUCAUAUUCAAACACAUGUUUAAAUUGUUCUGGUAUUUACCAAGCAAAGAACUCGCAAGGCUAUUGUUCUUCAUAAAUUCAUAAACCAAUAUCCGAUGUCUACCCUCAACACAGCAGCCAAUUAGCUUCACAAGAUUUGGAUGUUGUAUACUUGAGAUCAUAUCAAUUUCUGUCAUGAAUUCACGUGCUCCUUGCUUAGACUCGACAGAAAGAGACUUGAUAGCAACUUGAGUACCAUCCCUUAGAACUCCCUGCAAAUAUUAAUGACAAGCAGCAAAGAAAUGUCUUGACUCUUGAAUUUUGUUUAAGGAUGGUGAGCAAUACGACCAAUAAAAAUGAUGAUCAUGACUCUCACCUUGUGCACAACUCCAUAACCUCCUCCACCAAUUUUACAUGAAGGAUGAAAAUCUCCAGUUGCUGAUCUCAGUGAGUUAUAGCUAAAGUUUCUAGUUGCAGUCACUGUCAAUCACAGACACAUAAAUCUUACACAAGCAAAUUACAGAAUACAAAAUUUUCCAAACAGUAAACACAACAAAAAAUCAAGAACGCAGUUAUGUAUCCAGACAAGUUUCGCCUGGAAUAAGAUACAUGUGUAUUUUUCUUAUUUAAUUUGCAAUAAGUUCUAUUUGUAAGAGGAUAUAACAUUACUCAAUCCGUUUAGUUUUAACUCAACACUACCAGCAAGCAGAAAGCCUAAAAUAAAUUAAAAAACUCAUUAACCAAUGCUAAGUUUUGCUAUGUUCCUUUCCUGAGGAAUUUAACCAAACUACCAAGGUUAAUUAUGAAAACCUAAAGUUAAAUGCCAACAACAUUCAACUCUCCAUCCCAACCCCAGUUUCAACAGAAACCUUGAAAGUUGAAACAAUUUUACAGUGUUGUCUCCAGGUUCUGACAUGUCUGAUUUGAUAAAAAGAACACACACAAAUUUCCUGAAAAUACAAUCACUACUCAAUAGAACUGCAAUUUCAACCAUUGUUAUACUUAUUGGCAUUUGAAAAGGAAAAAAAAAUACAGAAAAUCACAUUCACAAAGUCAACAACCUGUGCUCACAUUGAUGAUUUUUUUUUUUACCAAUUAUGCAGAUUUAAAAUCAUACAAUUUUCUGUACCGUGUUCAUGGGGCUGGUCAGCAUGCUCACCCCUCGCUUUACAGCAAUUCAAGACACCAAAGCAACGGCCAAUCAUGGCUGUGACAAGCUCCAGUCUCUUAUGUUAGCUCCAGUCUCUUAUGCUAACCUAAACCUUCUAAAUGCAUUUAUUCCUCAAUUUUGAUCACACAUAUCAACUACCAAGGUGGGUCAAAACAAGAAACAUAAAUUGAUUAACUUGGAAAAUAACGAAGCAACUUGGACCCUAGAACAGCACUAUAUGCACAUUAAACGGGUAAAAAAAACAUGGGUUUUCGACAGAAUGAGUUGAGACACUGUUAGACCCCAAAUUCCUACCCUGAAGCUUGAAACUUGUAGUGUAGAGAAACAUUGAAAAGAUAAGAUUUGUUGUACUCUGAGAAAGAGAAAGGUCACCAAACCCUUUAUAGUUUAUGAGUGAUACCAAGAUUGGAAGGUUUAGAGGAACGUGUGAAUCCAUAUAUGGUUCAGAAAAAGAAAUGGGAAAGAUAUAGAUUCGCCAGAAAGGAAGGACACCAAACAUUCAGUGUCGUGUGUGUGGGGCAAAAAUCUGAAAGUGACAUAUUGUUUUCUUUAUGUUCUGUUUUUUUAUUUUCUUUUGCAGUUUACUUUGCUUGACAAAACCAAUAAUGGAAUAUAAUAAGUAUUAUAUAGGAAGCAGCCAUAGAAGGAGGAGUGUUGUCAAGCAAACAAGAAAACUAAGUCAAAAUUUAGGAAAAAGACAAGAACCCAAAAGAAAAAUUAUACUUGCUGAGCGACUUAGCAAAGUCUUACAACCUGGUUCCUAUUUUCAUUUAAAACAUAAUAAAGUUGAAGAUAUGGUUUAAUUAAUAUUUCGAAAAUGUUCUUUUAAAUAUUUUUUAAAAUAUGACCAAAAUAGAAAAAUAAAAAAAAUGUUUCUGAGGAAAACGAAAGUAAUUGAAAGUACGAAGGUGAAAAACAAUGGUAGUGGUGGUGGUGGCAAUGUGGCGAUGGUGGCGACUGCAAUGCGAUGGCUACGGUAGUGGUGAUGGCGAUAGAGAUUGGCGACGGCGGCAUAGCAAUGGUGGUGAUGGCGAAAGUGUCAGUUGCGGCAUUAGGGUGGUAGUAGUGGUGGCAGCAACACAUGUGAUGUUGGCAGCAACGAUGAAAAUAAAACAAAAAGUCAAAACAAAAUGAAAAUGAAAAAGAAUAUUUUCUCUGACCAAAUAAAGCCCUAAACAUUUUUUAUUAUUUUUUUACUAUCCUGCCAUCAACAAGUUGGCAAGUUAUUAUUAUAGUUUUCAUAUUUGAACUACUAAUAAUAGUAAAGACACCUUCACCUACCCAAUUUUACUCUUUUUUAUUAGUAAUAUAUUACAUUUAUUUCAAUUUUCUUUUGUUCUCUCAAUAAUAUUUGGGAUUCAAAACACCCAAUGGUGUCUGCCAAUUAUAAUUCUUAUUACUAUGACUAGAAAGAAACAAAUGCAAAACACAAGUGACAUCAACAAUUUUUAUUUUAAGAAAUUAAGAACACGAUCUUUCACACAAACAACUUUUGUUUUCACAAGAACAACAAAAACCUUAAGGUCUAACCGUUAGCAACUUUUUUAGAGUUAAAUGACUUUUUUUGUUCACGUAAAAUGAGAAAGUAAAUGGUGAGAUCUGUGCAGAUAGUGGAUACUAAUUAAGCUAGCCCUCAAGCGAGCAACUGCUGGUCCUAAAACAGAGGAGGUGAUUAGCAAUAUUGCUGCACUUGAAUUAAAGCUGGACCGGAAUAAUGGCUGAAAUAUGGCUACCGAAAUAAUAAGUUCUUCCACGUCACAAAGGGCCUCACGGAAUGAAAUCACACACAUCUAUGAUGAUGAUGGCACACAUUUUGAUGAUGAAGAGGAUAUAGCUGGUGUGUUGAAACUUGAAAGGCUUCUUCCAACAUCUGUUCAAGACAUCACUUCUCUGGUUCACCCACUACUAAAAAAAAGUGUAAAUUAGUGACGGAAUUUAGUGACGGAUUUGAUAAAAUUGUUACGGAUUAAUUGUCCAAGUACUUAGUGACAAAAUUAGUGACGGAAAUUUGGUCACUAAAUAUUUCAUCACUAAUUUGGUAACUAAAAUUUUAAAUUUUUUGUUUGGUAACGGAUUUUGAUACGAAAUUAUCUUUCACUAAAUAAUUCUGUCACUGAAUCCAUUGAAAAAUAUGUUUAACUAAUUUAUGAUGAAAAUAGUGACGGAAUUUUGUCAUCACUAAUUUUAUUUCAUUAUGGGUUAGCUAUCGUUUGUGGUAAAUGUAAGGUAAGAUUAUUUGUUUAUAUGUUUUAAUACAUUUACAAUAAAAGUAAUUUUGUAGUAUAUAAACUAUUUACUUACAAGUAAAUACAAAGCAAGGAUUGUUUCAAAAGUUUAUAUUUUGAUAUUUACAUCAUCUACUAUACAUAUAGGUAGAAAAUUGUCAGUGAAAUUUGAAAAUUACAACUUGUAACAUAGUGACAAGUAAUUACAUGAUCAUACCAUCAAAUUAAAUAUGAUUCAACUUUGAGUCAAACCUACACGUUGUACAGUAAGUUCGUAUGAGAAAAAAAAACAUUUAAAUUUUCAUUGCCCCACAAUAUCAAUGCUUGAUAGUUAUUACGUAUUUGAAAAAUUGAAUUACAAUCUAAUUCAAACUAAUAAAAAUUGGAUCGGAUUUGAAAAAACAAAAAAUUGAUUAGAUAAUGAAGUGACAAAUCAAAGUGAUUAGAUCGGAUGAAUUUUCUCCUUAAAAUCGAAUAAAUACAAACCCCCUAGCUGACACAUCCGAUUGGGUGGGAUAUCCUUUAUUUACAAUCAUCACAUUGUGUUAUUUUUCGAACAACCAAUAAAUAAAGGCUUAAAUAUGUUGGAGGCCCCUAUAAAAUAGGGGUCCUUUGGUUUAAGCCCCUACAAAAUUUUUUCUUGGGAAUAAGCCCCUAAUGAGAAAAUAAUAUAUAGUGAUAAGCCCCUGCCGUCAACUUCCGUUAAAAAAUAUAUGAGUCAACAAACGGAGCUGACGUGGACCUUUGCCACCUCAUCAAGUGGGCCCACAAGCUGUUGUCGUGGAAAUGAGAAGAGAAAUAUGAAAAUGUCAAAUGUGGGAUUUGAACCCAAGACCUAGAGCAUAAUGGGCAACAUCCUUCCCACUAGGCUUCAAGCUGCAUCUUUAAUACAAGUGCAAAAUUUGAUAUAUAUCUCAUUUAAACUGACUAAAAACACCAUAAUCAGGAUUCGAACACCAUACAUGGAGGAUCAUACUCAAUGUCCUUACAAUUGAGCCACUGGCUCAUUUUGUUAUUCAUGCGCACAACAAUAUAUAUAUAUAUAUAUAUAUAUAUAUAUAUAUAUUAUGUAAAAAAAAAGAACAAGAAUUCAACCCCACUUAAAUCAUAAAAAACUAUUAUUUUGUUCUUUCAGUAUAUAUACUCAUUAGUACUUAAAAGAAGUCAAUAUAUGAACUCUAAUAAAUUUGUAAGAUUUAACUUUUUUACGUUUUAAAGUUUUGUAAAUAUGUUUUUCUAUUUACAUUUAAUAUUUUAUUUUGUUUCAAAUUGAUACAUUAUAUUUUUUUGAACUCCAAUUGAUACAUUAUAUAAGAGCGUAUAAGAGCCUAAAAAUGUAAUUUUUAGAACUACCACAUCAAAUUUAUUUAGCAUUAUCAGUUUGUUUUUAAAUAUAUAUUUAGUUUUGCGCUUAAAAUACAUGCAUAAAUUAGGCAUUGACUUAGUGGUUAGAGCCUCCUCCAUGAACCUCUAUGUUUUGGGUUCAAAUCAUGCUUAGGACAUUUUUAAAUUUUUGGUUGAAAUAUUAGCAGCUUCAGUUUAAAUAAGAUAUAUAUUAAAUUUUGCACUUGUACUAAUGAUGCAGCUUGUAGCCUAGUGGGAAGGAUGUUGCCCAUUAUACUCUAGGUCUUGGGUUCAAAUCCCACAUUUGGCAUUUUCAUAUUUCUCUUCUCAUUUCCACGUCAGCAGCUUGUGGGCCCACUUGAUGAGGUGGCAAAGGUCCACGUCAGCUCCGUUUGCUGACUCAUAUAUUUUUUAACGGAAGUUGACGACAGGGGCUUAUCACUAUAUAUUAUUUUCUCAUUAGGGGCUUAUUCCCAAGAAAAAUUUUUGUAGGGGCUUAAACCAAAGGACCCCUAUUUUAUAGGGGCCCCCAACAUAUUUAAGCCAUAAAUAAACAAUAACUUAGCAUGCAUUCGUGGGUUUCGUCUAUAUACCAUUGUUUUUUUUUUUUUGAUGGAAGCAUUGUUGUUUAAAAUAAGAAACUUUUUAAAUAAAAUGAGUUAAACCCCAAAUUAACUUGUUCAAAUUCUUUCGCGUUCUAUAUAGCUUUGUUAGUUUUGGUUCCAUCGCCUUUAGUUUCUAGCUAUGUCAUCCCCUUAUUUUCAUAAACCCUUAAUACUUCUUUAUAUUAUGGUGAUUUUUAAACUUAAAAGUGAAAGUUUUAUGUUGCAUUCUUAUCUUUGCGACACGCAUUUAUAAAUGUGAAUUUAAGUUAAUUUUUGCACUUAUAAGUGAAAAAUCAUGGUGAUUUUUGCACUUAAAAGUGAUAAUUUUAUGUUGCACUCGUGAUUCUUACAGCACGCACUUAUAAGGGUGAAUACAAGAUAAUUUCGCACUUUUAAGUGAGAAAUCAUGGAGAUUUUCGCACUUAAAAGUGAGAAAUAUAACAAAUAGGGAAAAAAAUGUGUGUUGUGCACCUACUAUGGGUGCGGAAAAUAGACGAUGUACCUGGCCAAAGGCGUUGAAAACCACCAAGAAGAGAGGAGUAAUUGCAAGCCCAACCUCGAUGGCGAAGAUUGAAAGAGCCAAUUAUGAUUGGUAAGAUGAAGAAGAUGAUUGUGGGUGAUUUAGGUGGGUGAGAUGAAGAAGAUGAUUGUGAGUGAGGUGGGUUUAAUUUGUGAAGAGGAUGGUGGUAAGAGUGUUAUGAUUGAUGAAGAAAAGGAAGAGGAUGGUGGAUGGUGAAGGAUAGAAAAAGGAUGACGGUGGUGAGGUUGGUGAAAGAUAGGAAGACGAUAGGUAAAGGAUAAAAAUUAUUUUUAAGGGUAUUUUAGUAAACUGUGAAAAAAGGGAUGGCAUGAGAAUCAAUUGGGGUGGCACCACAACUAAAACAAAUGUCCAUUAACUUAUUAUUAUUUAACUGAAGUUAUAUUUGAGAAAUCAUAUAGGUAUAGUUGGAAAUGUGGAUUCUCAUUGAGAUUCGCCGGGAAAGAAGCUUGCAAACUAACAAUUAACAACUAACAUUGGUUUAUAAAAAAAAAGCGAGAAGACGAUGAAAGAUAAAAGAAAAUAGAGGAAACAUAAAAACAGUUGUGAUACAACAUGUUUACAGUCAACUAUGCUAUACAAAUGGUUUUGUCUCACCCUAACUAUCGAAAAUGAACUAACUUUAAUAAGCAAAUCUAACUAACUAUUGAAAUGGAGGUAAAAGUUGUUACAACUAAAACUGAGAACACUGAGCUUCGUAGCUAAGAUUAACAGCUUCUAGUAGCAUGUAGCAAUCUAAUAACAUAUGUUGAUUCCAGCUUCGAUGAAUAGAACAUAUUAUUGACAAUAAACUACUUCAAACAAAUCUACCUUCUUUGCUAUGAAGAAAUAAAUUAAAACUUCUCAAAACUUGCUCUUGCACAUGGAUGCUUAAAUCUAAACUACAUACUUUGGAUUCCAGGUACCAAGUAUAAGCUUUGAACCUUUAAUGUGUUUGGGUAAACAAUAUAAUUAAAGCCCUUGUCGCAUAAGCAUUGUUCAUGAGCUAUUUUGAAAAACUUUAUGAAAUAAAUUGAAAAAUAAGUUAUGGAUAAGCAUGAGCUCUUAUUCAUAAGCUAAUAUGAGCAACUUAUAAAAAUAAGCUCAAAACAACUUAUAGAUAGGCUAUAAGCUAUUUUAUAUAAGCUCUCUCAAACACUUGCAUAAGUGCUUAUGCUAUAAAAUAAGUUCAAAUAAGCUCUUCAAAAUGAAGAUGGGUUGAACGAGCUCAUAAAUUGGUAGUUCAAUGAUUAGGACAAUAGUCCUCUAUACCGGAAACAUGCUUAUGUGGUUUUCCUACAAUAAAGUUCAGGAACAUGCUUAUGUGGUUUUCCUACAAUAAAGCUCAUAAAAGGCUUAAAUAAGUUUUUGGUCCCUAACCUUUACUAAAUGCUUGGUUUUCGUCCCUCACCGGAGUAAAGGUGGGUUUUAGUCCCUAACAUUUGUCAAAAGGUUUGGUUUUAGUCCCUCCGGAGCUCUGGGUCAACGCCGGAGCUCCGAUGGCCCAUGUGACAUUGCCACGUGGGAUUUAUGAGGCCAGGUGGAUUUUUUUUUCAUUUUUCAUAUAAAUUAUAAAAAAAGAAAAUUAACCUAUGUAAUUAAAACCUAAUUUACUAAUUUAAUCCCUCACCUAAUUAUUAAUUAUAAAUCUCUUCAUCUCCAAAUCUUUCAUCAAAACCCAAGAUUUUGUUCUUCAUCCAUCUCUUCCUUCUUUUCUUCAUCUUUCCUUUCACAUACCUACACAAAUCCACUCACCUAAUUAUUAACAUCUGAAUUGAACACAGAUUGAAGAAGAAACAUUGAACUGAACAAGCAACAAGAAGCUUGUUUGAAUUUACCCAGAAAAUCUCCAAAUUUUUGUUGUGUUUGCCUACCCAGAAAUUCGAACAAGGAAUGUCUACCCAGAUUGAAGAAGAAAUGAAGAAGAAACACUGAAUCAAACCCAGAAUCUAAGCAAGCAUAACCUUGGUGUAAAUCUGUCAUCCCCAAAAACCAGAUUAGGGAGAAAUGGGUAAGAAAGGUAGAUCUGUGAUUUGUCUCUUCCCCAAACCCCAUGCCUCGAUUUGUCUCCUUUUCUCAUCACCUCAGCAGAUCUGCGAGCCUAAGGAGCCCUACCACAUUGUCGCACCAUCACCACCAUGUGGUCUCACCAUGGAUUUCAACUCCCUCAAAAUUGUGCGGCGAAGGAACAAAUCUGGGGCUUGGUUGCUGCGGUGGAGGUUGAGGUUGAGGCCACCCUUCAAUCUACAGUUCGCCACCAUCGCAAUCCCCUAUUUCUCCUUCGAUCUGCAGUUUUCCACUCUAUUAUCUUCUCUUUUUCUUAUGUUGUGGUGAGUUACUUCAAAGGAUUUGGGUGGGGAAUUUUGGGUUUGUUGGGAUGAGGGUUGGUUUAUGGGUGGUGGCUUAAUUGUAGAGGGAUUAAUCAUCCAAGGGUAUUGAAAUGAUUGAGUGAAAACGAAGCUUCAGAAAAUUUGGUUGGUGGUUUCAGAGUUUCAUGGGGAGAAGAAGAUGUUGGUGGUUUCAUACUGAACGGUGAUGAAGCUUUAGAAUAUUAAGAUAACGAAUAAAAAAACCCUUGGAUGAUUAGUUAAUAUCUGUUUUAUAAUUUAAGAUAUAGUUAAUAUCUAUUUUAUAAUUUAUAUGAAAAAUGAAAAAAAAAUCCACCUGGCCUCAUUAAUCCCACGUGGCAAGGCCACAUGGGCCACCGGAGCUCCGGCGUUGACCCAGAGCUCCGGAGGGACUAAAACCAAACCUUUUGACAAAGGUUAGGGACUAAAACCCAUCUUUGCUCCGGCGAGGGACGAAAACCAAGCAUUUGGUAAAGGUUAGGGACCAAAAACUUAUUUAAGCCCUCAUAAAAUGUACCAAUUUAGUCUCUCAUUGUAACAGAACAUAGGAAGACAAUGUACUGCUAUGCUACAACCUUUACCAUUAGCACAUUUACAUGGAACACUGUAUCACAUGAAUAUAUGUGCUAUUGUUCCACCACAUACAGUUAAAGUGACCAGAUCAGUGAUGAAUGAUCAUGCCUAGACCAACAUAUCAGGGCUGAUAUUCAAUUUAUCAUCCACUAGCUAUGGUGACUCAUAGGGGAAGAGUUUCCCCUCUCACUUCCAAAAUCAUUUUCUCCAAUCUCACUUCCAUCAUAAGAUGGGGAAUUAUUAUUCACGCUGGGUUCAGAGCUAGCAGUGCUGCUUGUGGCAAGUGGGGAAUCAGAAACACUGAUAGUCCUGCUCUUUGAGGCACUAGCUGAUCUCACAUUGUACGUAGAGGAAGCUGGAAUGUUUGUCACGACUGGGCGCAAAUUACCCUGGAUGCUUCGCCUUAUGUCCUGUGGAAGAGAAACCAAAUACAACUUGUAACUUGACUAUUGUGUAUCAGAAAUAAACUAAUAUCCACUUAUUCAAAGCAUUUUAUACAUCAUUAAUUGCAGCAUUACACAUUUGAAUUAAAGUACACUUCUAACUUCAGUUUAAAACCAAAAUCUAGCUCGGUCACUCUCAAUCAGUCUAAAUUUGAUACCAUUCUGUGGUAAAUUAUAGAAUUUUAUCACUCGUCCAAUAUAUCUCAAAGAGAAAUGUUAGCAAACACUUUUUUGAACACAAUUUUCAAUACACAAUAUGUAAUUGGUUUAUAUUUGAAAAGUCGGCACAUUUUUUAAAAAGUGAGACAAAUGUGUCGACUUUUUUAAAAAACAGACCAAACACGAGUGUGUUCCAAAAAGAGUGUUGGUAGUACUCCUCUAUUUCUAAUGUUCUGCAUAUUUAUGUCUGUCUAUUGAAUCAAUGAAAAAUAAAGAUAAACCUUUCUAUUCUUUUUUCACUUAAUGUAGUCCAUGAAUAGGCACUUUGCCACAAGCUACAGAAAACUGUCCACAAUAAUAUUAAAGGGACGAGGAUAUAUAACUAAGUAUUUAGGUUCAUUAAUCGUCAUUAACUCUAUGAAUAUCAUCUACCAUUCUAGUAUCUUACCAAAUAAAUAGCAAUAUAGACACACCAUGAGUUGUUGCCAUACAGAGAACCGAAAUAACUCUUGAAAUUAUUAGCCAACUCAAGGAAGAAUACCAUGGUUAAGCAUAAGUAAGCAUUAAUAUAUCUCCCUUAUUAUACUCAUUAAUGAAAGCCACAUCAUUAAAGUAAUGGAAUACAUGAACAUACCAUAUGCCUCUUAGCCAUAUCUAAAGAUGUCUUUGAAAGUGUACAUCCGAAUCCAGAGCUACCAGAUGAUGAAGAUUUCCCAUUGGAGUUGUUAUGGGAAGAAUGAUGGUCUUCACGUUUUGGGGGUGCUAGUUUUCUCAUGUUUACUACUCUUUCAACCAUUUUAGUCCCAACUUCACCAGGGCUGUCAUGAUCACCAUCAGUGAAACGAGCUCUACUCAAAGCUUGCAUGGAGCUAUAAUUAAGAAGGGCAAACCCAGUCGAAGCCCGUCCUUUCGAAGGCGUGCUGGACUGCCUUCUAGAUUUUCCACUGCUACUCGCCUCAACAGAAGAUGAUCUAGUGUUUUGUGCUCCAGGCCUACUCCUAGUGGCUGAAGCUGGUCUUUCUGGCAAUGAUGUCUUCAAAUUUGGAGGAGCUUCAAGAGAAUAACCAGGCAUUUGUGAUGGUUCCCAGGGUCUAGAUUUUACUGAUGGAGAGAUGCCGCGUGAUUGCGCCGGAUUCUUAGCAACAAUGGGGCGUGCCUUUGAUGCGGAUGAAGGUCGCGUAGGAGGAGCAGAUACUCUAAAUGUUCUUGUUGGGGUUGAUGAUCGGAGGGUUGGAGUUGCUGAUCUUUGAGAUGUCCUUGAAGUAGGUGUUGAGGCCCGAGAUGUGGAUCUAGUAGGAGUGGAUGAUCUCACUGGUGGAGCUAUUGAUUUCGCAGAAGGUAAGGUGGCCCGGGAGGUAGGUGUAGAGGGCCUAGAGGAUCUGGUUGUUGAAGGUAAUGUUGGUCUUCCAGAUGGGGUUGAAGAUCUCGAUGAUGAAGGUCUCCUACCACCAUUAGUGCAAGAACUGAGUCCUGUUACUGCUGCAUGAUUCUUUGAAACUGCAUUGCUUCUUGCAGCUGGUUCUGCUUGGAUAUUAGCGACCUGCAAUUAGUAAAAUAGGAUCACAUGUAUUGUGUUGAUUAAAUCAAUUAGUAAAAUAGGAUCCAUUAUUACUAGUUGGAAUUCAAAAGAACAGACAAGGGAAGACCCAUGUUAGUUGAAUUCAAGGUUUGGAUAAAGGUACAGGAAUCAAAAGGCUACUGGAUUAAGAACCUCUGUCCCCGUUUGGUGUCCCAUUCCCAAUCCCGCCAACAAUAUUGUAUCAUAUCAAUUAAAAAAAAGACAAAUAUGACAGUUAUAACCUUACAUAAUUUUUUAAAUGAUAUGAUAUGACAUGAAUUUAUUGGUAGGAAAUGGAAGGGGACACCGGGACACAGGAUUUCGAUCCAUCCUGCAUAUACUAUGUGCACUCAACUGAUUGAUAUGGUUUAACAGCGUUCAGAAAUCACAUUAAAUGGUACCUACCCUAGGUUUUAAAGCUGUUGGACGGGCAUUGCGAGUUUCCAUAUCGUUCUUUGCUGAUAUCUGUGACUGCUUCUCUAAAGUUGGAAAACGAGGGGAAUCCGGUGGCGUAAGAAGCCUGAUAACAGAAAACUCCUUGUCAGUAUUAAUGAUAUAAUUUUGAUGGACCAAAGUCGUAAUGCAAUUUAGAUGCAGAAACUAAGAAUGAAGUAAAAUAGGUAGGCAUGACUAUAGCUUCAUGUAUGUAUAUGCAAUUUGCUUAUUUUCAGCAUCCAGGGAUUUCAACUGCUGAAGAAUAACAUAGUUGAGAAGUCCAAAUUAGCGAGACAACAAAAAUACUGUGCACAUAAAAGUUGAUGUCAUUUCUGAUUCUUCCAGUGAAGGUUUGUAUUUGAAAUCAGCAGAGAUUAAUAUCAAGUUGUUCAUAGAUUUUCUUUCCAAGUGAGAUAUCCAUUUUAGAAGAGGAUACAUGAAAAGUAAAGCUCGACGUUAUCUUUUCUCCUUAGGAGGAAACAUUGAAUUAAACACCAUGAACAACUUCGACUCUAAUAAGGGAAACUCCAAUCCAAGCUUCAUUGAUUUACAAGAUCAAAUCUCAAAUCACAACACCCAUCAGCAAUAAAAUCAAAAGUUUCAGCCCAAAAUUACCAUUCAUAUUCAGACUUGCCAUUCUCUGAAUUCAAAAACACUUCAACCCCAGUCUUCCUUGGUGGCACUAAAAUCAUGGUUUUGGAAAUCAUAGAGCUUCCACGAUUGGAUUCUGUAGUAAAAUAACAUAGAUAAACACAACAUGGCUUCAUUUAUUCAAACAUAACAAGAGCCACUCAAAACAUGAGAAGGGGAAAAAUAAAAUACCCAAAUUGGACAAAUCAAGUUCCUCAGAGUUUUGAAGAAGAAGGUUAUUUUUCUCAUUUUCUUUCUCCCUCCUCCUCAUCUCAAGGAACAGACUGAGUUCCUCAUCUCUCUCCUUCAUCACCAUCACCUCAGCUUCUCUCUGCAAACCCUGAUGAAAAAAAUCAAAACAAAAAAUAAAUAAAUCAAACAUUCACUACCCCUUCAAGCAAAAACGAAGCACCAAUCACUGAAGUUUCAGUCUUUCAACCAAAACAUGAAGAUCGGAAUAAUCUAAAAUCACAUGGUGCAAAAGGGUAUGGUGAAAAACGACUCAACAAGAUUCUAAUACCUUGAUUGGGCAAAAAUGUAGUGAAAUAACUAAUAGGGUGAGCACAAAUAGGCUCCAAUGAGCUAAGAAUUGAGCUAGUGUUGCAUAGAGAGGUGAAUCAAAGAGAGAAGUACUAGAAUAGAACCUCGUUUUGUUCGAUAUGUUUGAUGAUUGACAAGGUUGGAAGCUGCAGUUACAAUAGCAGUUGAUGUGAGACUUUGUCUGGUUGGUAUUUUGAUGUUUGAAAACGGAAGACAAGAAGACGAUUUGAAUUCAAUUUAUGCGGUUGUAUUUAUUACUAUUAUUUGUGUUGCUGACACAUUCAAUGGAUUUUCUUUAAAUAUUUUACUUUCAUCAGCUCGAAAAUUUUGAACUAAAGUUUCUCCCUGUGUUUUGGAUGGCAAAAAUUAGGACCGCACAUGAGAGGGGUUGGGCCGGGUGUAUUUUUAGGUUAAUCGGGAUUCGAAUUGAUUAAAAAUAUGUGUUUGAAUUUCGGAUGAGUUGAAAUCGAUAUCUGAUUCAAAGAUGAUCAGAUUGUACUAAAAUUUAUUCAAUUGACCUGUUUGUCUAAUUCAACCCGCAUUUUUUACUAAUUGAGUUGGAUCGAAUGAGUUCAUUAAAUCUACCUGACCCAUAUGCUCCCUUAGUAAAAAUAUCAUCUUUUUUUGUUGAGGUUGCGAAAAUAACAUUAUGAUGAAUAAUAGAUUAUAAUGUCUUUAAAGAGACAACCAAUAACAUCUUAGCACAAUUGAUAAAUAAUUGAGCUUCUUAAACAUCUAUUCUAUUAGAAGGUAUGAUCUAGACGGUGUGUGUGAAGAAUUAUUUGUCAGGAAAAACCUACUCACUUAAUGUGAUUUUGAAACCUUGAAAAAAUUAGUCUCAUAGUAGCUGUUAGUUGUGAAAUACUUUUCUGCAAUAAAAAAACAGAGGAAAGAAUUGAGAAAAGCUUAAAUUAUUCAGUGGGUAGGGACAAGAGUACGAAAGAUAAUUUAUUUUGAUGCUAGCUUGAAUCAAGAAAACAACUGCAUCAUAUAACAUUGUUCUCCAUUUGAACAUGAAACCAUUUUUGCAUUUGAACAUGAAACCAUUGUUAUCAUUCCAACAAAAAACAACAGCACUGACGAGGAGUAGAAAGGUUGCUAGGUUACCAUAGACGGUUGUCAAGUAUUAGAUAUGUGGAUUGAAGAUCUAGCAAGCUAAUUAACAAAGAAAGAGUCUUCAAUUGUUCUCAGUGGAAACUUUCUGUGCAAGAUGACUUUAAUUGUAGAAUUAGCUUUGAAUCGGUAGACUACUACUAUUUUUACAUUCUGUUUUGAUGCUAGCUUGAAUAUAGAAAACAACUGCAUCAUAUAAACAUUGGUUCUCCAUUUGAACACGAAACAAUUUUUGCAUUUGAACAUGAAACCAAUUCUGCAUUAGAACAUACUAUCAAACUCUACUAUUUCUCUAAGCUGUGUAUACUACUACCCUUAGAAAAAUAGAAACAACACAAACAUAAGCAGUAAAUUAAGGGUUUCAAAAGCAGUGCCCAUAUCAUCAUAAAAUCUGAGAUAAUUCCAAACAAUAGAGUGACCUCUUGAAGAGGAACCAAAAGAACACAAUUUAACUUGACCAAUAAAUUAAAUUUGAUUCAAGGCUUCCACAAAAACUAAGUAUGCUGCUAAAUCUGCUUCAGAGAAUUGCUGUUGUGAUUAUUCCAACAUUAGUAACUAAUACAUAAAAAUAAGCUUGUUAAGUUGCAUGUGGCUUACUUAGUUGAGGGAAUUAUGACAUGCUUUAAAUUUCAGUUUGUUAAUAUGAUGAUGUACAAAUUCCCAGCAAUUAAAUAAUAGCACACGCCUUACUUUUUCUGAAUCUGAAACAAGUUCUUAAAGGUGUUGAACCUAUAUGUUAGACAUUCCAAAAGACAUUGCCAAUGCUCAGCAGAAGAAAAUUGGUCCAGUCACAACCUUGAAACACAUAUUGUCCAAAUUAAGGGUUAAAAUUUAAUCUCAAAGUGGAACAAGAGAAAAAUAAGAGUAAGGAUCAACUGAUGCUAAACAAUGAUAAAAAAAACAUCAAAUGAGACCCGAACUAGUGUUAAAAAAUUAUUGAUAGUGUGAAUAUAGAUUAAAAAAUGUGUUAAGAACAAGUGAAGUGAUGCUAAAAUAAUGAUAAAUAAACUUAUCAAAAGAGCCCCAAGUCAGAGGAGGAAAUUGAAAAGAAAAAAGUACCUAUUUGCCUGAAUCAAGCUGGCUUACAUAUUUAAUUUCUUUCUCUUAGCAUGAGCAAUUUUGCCUUGUAAUUAUAAGUUAACGAACAGUGCUGACAACUAGAUGAACAAUGUUUAGAACAGGUAUAGUAAGAGAGAAUCAUUUUCAACUGUCCUUGACAAAUAUACAAUCCCCAACACUAGCAAUUUAGUUCCAUAAUUACUUCCAAUGCUUCAGAUGGGGCGAUGCGAUCAAUCAACAAGGAAUUACGCAUAUUCAAACUUUUAAAGAAACCUAAUAUAUCAAGUCUUCAAUGGUUGAACAAACUGGGACAAGACCAGAAAGGAUUAGGAGUUUUUAAGAUGUAAUCCUUUAAGCUGAAACAGAAUAUCCUGACUCCACGAGAAUUAGUGUAAGAAAAGUAGAUGCAAUUCCCUUCAGCACCAUGGUAAUCUUGAGCUGACAGAGAAAAAUUCGACUUAUUACCCAAAACAAUCACAACAUCACCCAAAUUUUUCACAACUUCCCAUCUACCUGAUUCUUCAUUGACCUUGUAAACUUUAAUAUCAACUUCCUCGUUCAAAGAGAACGCUUUAAUAGGCAUAUCAACCACAUAGAGACUUCCACCACACUCCACCAUUUUCUUCUCCUUGCCAUUAGGCCACCCCCACAAUGGCUGUGUAAACUGUACCAACUUCAAGGAUGAAGGAUUCAUCCAAGAAAUUGUUCCCAAGUCAUUUAUAACAUAAAGUUUCCCCUUGUGAAUGAUUAUAUCAUGGCAGCAAUAACAACCCAAUUUCAUCAUGGUCCACUUCAUAUCUCCAGUCUUGCGAACACACAACUUUCUACCACGAAAUAAAGCAAACACCAUGCGACCCUCCACAUGAAAACUAGGGAACAAUACCGCUUUUUGAACGUCAUAGUCAUAAUUACCAGAGAGAUUAAAUACUUCAAACAACUCCACAGCCUUGAAGUUCAUGAUAUCCAACACCCUUGGCGAAGUGUCACUUGAGAAAAUCUGAGGGGUGUUAGAGAUAGGAGAGCAGGUGAAAGGAUUUAAGAGAGGAAGUGGCACGGAUUCCGACAUUAUUAUCCACCCUUUUGAAGAAGAAAUAGACGGGUCUUGAUCAAUGUGAGAUUCAUGUGAUAAUGGUUUUAGACCAUAUAUUUUCUUUUGGAGAAGGCAAGAUCUUCCGAGAGGAAUGGCAAAUGGCGUGUGUUCCGGGAGAGGGUGAGCGGAGCGCCAUGUAUUACAUAUACUUCGAAAUCUGCGAAUUUCAAAUGUAGUGUUGUCUAGGGUGAUUAGAUGUUUGGCUAUCAUUGUCCACAACUCUGGAGGAAGAUUUAACCAUUCUACUAUCCGUCCCUUUUCCAUUACAACACUAUCAUUAAAUUCAAUAUCGCUUAAGGUCUCAACCUCAUCAUCGGAACUCUUGUAUUUCAUAUCUCAAAUUCAAUGAAAUAGUGAAAUACUAUUGCUUCUCGCCCAGGGUUGAAAAACAAUACCAAAAAUAUGAGCAUAUUCUUAUAUAAAAACCAUAGUUAAUGGACAAAUCAAUCUCCCCUUGUUAUAUAAUAUGAAAACUAAAUUAAGAUAUUCAACCAAUCAAUUUGAUUUGAUUGAUAUGUAAUUUUUUUUUUGUUACAGAUUGAUAUGUGAUUUGAUUAAAAGGCUAUCAAUAUUUAAUUUUAAAACUGUUCGUAUUAGGAAUAUUAAUAAGGGAAACUAAAAUAUGAAGAUUCAAAUUUGAUAUAUAAAUAAAUUGUCAGUGCGUACAAUUUUUUGGAAUUAUAUAAUUGGUUGUUAUAAAAAAAGUGAGUAUCUUAAACUGAUAAGAACAAAAAAAGUGAGUAUCUUGUAACCAAAAAAAAAAUGAGUAUCUUUUGAAACUUUUUUUUUGACAGUCAUCUUUUGAAACUUAUUAUGGAAAAAAAUCAUGUAUUGAUUUAUGAGAUUUAUUUAGAUCUUAAUUAAAUUUAUAAAAAUCAUGUAUGGAUUAUUUUCAUACUUCGAUCCCUUAAGUACAUGAAUUACAUAACUUGCAAUUGAUUAAAAUCUACCUAUAUCAAUAUGAAAAUACACAAAUAAAACUAACAUAUACCACUAACACCCACAAUUCCUAUAAUUAAACCUCAUAACAAAAGAAAUUCAAAUAGAUUGUAAUGAACUCUAAUAAUAGAUAUGGAUUCAUAUUCUCAACUAUUCCAACCAAACAAACAUGCAACUGCUUUUCAGUUCUAAUGGAUUCCAACAUUUCUCAUCCAAUCUACUCAGUACCUGCACAGGUGAACGAACUUGGGUGGUCAAAUCAUAUAUAUAUAACCAGUACGCUAGUUCCAAGUCCAAAAUGCUGACUUGUUUUUCUAGCUCUUCAUUGUCCCAUUGUUAACUACUUAACCUUCUCUUACCCAACCAAAGUGAAUUACAUGAUAUAAGGAGCUUGGGAACAUAGAUCUAUCGCUUAGUUUAACAGACAUGAAGAUGAGACAGAUGCAAUAACAAAUGUUGAAUCCGAAUUGAAAUCAGGACUUGUUUCUAGAAGUUCUUUGAUGAGGGGUAUUGCAUAUAUAGUUAUAUACCAAUUCUAAUAGCUAAUAGAAGCAGAUUUUCACAACAGGAAGUGUAAAGAAUGUACAAUUAAGAAAUAGAUGAUCCGGAAAUGAGAACAUCAAACAUCAUCAGCAUCACUUUCAGCAACAUGAGCUUCUUGAGCUGUCAAGUAGAGGCUGCCAUCAGGUCCCAACACCUUAAACCUACUCAUUAUUAAUAAAGCAAGUGCAUCAAAAUGUGGACUAAUUAAAAACUCAAGAGUGACAAGAAUGAAACAAAAACUACAAAGCAUGCCUAAAAUAGAUAAUUAUUUAACUGGUUACCAACUUACCUUUCAAGGAUAAACUUUCCUUCUUUGUACUUCUCAGUCGUCUCAUAAGCAGCCUCCUAAAAUGAAAUAAAAUAAGCUAUAUUAAAAACAAGAGGUUCCCCAAUGCCAACAGCACCUAGAUAAGUUAUCAAAUAACUCAAAACCCAUGAGUUUUAAAACUGGUCCUUACAUAUUUCCAUCCAACAAUGGAACCGCAUGCAACACAGAAUAUGUCAACCACAGUGUGCAAUCCUGUGAUCAUCAUCCGUUCUUCUUUCACGCCAACGGUGAUAUUCACACUGUCAUAACAUGGACUAACAAGAUGUUAUUUCAGUGACACUUCAUACACAUUCAAGUCUUAUAGCGAUCUUGCGUUUCCAUCCCAAUAACAAUUGCACCAGCUGUGGUGCAUUCAAGAACUAUUAAGCAUAAAAGUAUCAAGAUUUUCUCAAAAGAUAAUGUUAACCUUCUAUAUUUUUAUAGAAAAACUAAUUUUAUAUGCGGUAAAGCAGGGAGAUACAACUGGGCAUCAUCAUGCAUAACAUGUAACAUGGUUAAAUAUUUGGCACAAUUUUUAUAUUCUGAUGUUCAAAGCUAAAUAUUUGACACAACAGCUUUAAAGCUGGUCAUACAUUGGCAGUCAGUAAUGCUUAUGUUAAUUUGGUACUGAGAAAGUCAAAUGACACUUACACUUUAUCAAAAAGAUAAGCCUUCCCAUGCCUGCAAUGGAAAGACUAAGAGAACAGCAAGGUUAGAUCAUCAAAAGGUCCCAUUUUUACUUAUGCAUGUAGUUUGCAAAAUGCCAUAUACAGUCUAAGAUUUUAUCAAGUUAACUGGGAACAGAACCAUUCAAAUAUGGAUGAAAUGUCAGAUUAGGAGAAUAGACCAAAAGGUCAACAUUUAAGAUGUCGUCUAAGAUACAUAGUCUAUUUGAAAUAGUCUUUCAAACACUUCAUCCUCCAAUUUGUCCACUUUGUUUCUGAUUCAUAUAGUUGUUUCCAUAUCAUGCAUAUUCCUAGGGUGCACCAUUUAAUAUAUGCCAAGGUUCUAAUUACAAAUCGAUAUCAAAGAUUUCCAUCAUGUCUCUCAGCUCAUAAACGAACAGCGCGGGUUGAUUGGGUUUGCAACCAAAAUUUACUGUAUUACACAAAUAUGGUAGAGAAUUUUAUGUAUCACCCUUAGAGCCAAGGCUCUCCUCAAUCCUCUGAGACGAUAAUUCUCAGCCUUGCACUCAAUAAAACAGAAUACAAACAGAAACUGUCCCCAUUUCCCCCCUUAUAACUACACCACAUACUGCUAAUAACCGCUGAAUAACUACCCAAAUCACAACUUCCCUAUUAUACAAUUAAAUAACUACUACAUAACUGCCCUAUAACAUACCAAUAGUUUAAUAACUGCUGCAUAACUGUCCUACUACUAAUUCUGGCUCUAUCUAAUUUCUCCUAGAGUACACACAGGCCACAUUUUAGGCUUAUUUUUAACAUGAUCCAAAACCCGACCCACAUCUUAACUUUGGGCUCUAACACGGGUGUUGACACUGGCAUCGCAACGGCUGCGUGGGACUAACCAAAGGGACAGCCUGCAUGGACGCGAGGCUGCCGACCAUAGUGGGAUGUUAGGAUCCAGUUACAAGGUAUAGGAUUAGAGUCCCACAUUGGAAGUACGAGGUUCUGCUAUGGGGUUUAUAGGACCUUGGGCCAUCAAACAACAACUAACUUUUGUGAGUGGCUCUCCCAAGUUUCUAAUCAUACAAGAAUCACAACAACUGAAAGACAAGAUGAUAUUAGGGAUGGAAGCAUUAGAAAGGGUAGAACCUAUUGACGAAAAGGCGGUACCUUAAGCGGUGGUUUUGGAACAUGUGUGUAGAAGACCCAAACAACGAUUAAGGAGGAUAAAUAAGAUAGAAAAAAUGUAAUUAAAUGUUCUGUUUCAGACACAAUUUAUGACAGGAUUUUAUGGCAUCUCUGGUACAUGUAUUCAUCAGUCAUGGAGCAUAUCCAAAGCACAAGUAAGGAAGAUAGAUCACAUAGAGAAGAAUUCAAGAAAAACAAUAAAUCAAACUAUUAAAAAGAAUUUAGAUCUAAAUGUUCUGUUUAAGACAUAAUUUAUGAUAGGAUCUUAUGGGAUGUUUGAUCAAUGUAGCCUACCCCACAAGUGACAGAAGGUCUUGAUUAUUAAAAUAGCACAAUUUAGAGGUGCCAUUCUAGGAAUUAGUAUUGAUAAUGUUUCACAGAGACAUAUUUCCACUCUAUAAAUGCCUACUACUCCAAAAACCCAACAUGAUAUAAUCUAUAAUUAGUACUCAUAUGUAUCUAAUCCUAGGAUCAUGUUUCUUUUCUAAACUUGAGUUGAUCCUAUUUUUUGUAACCUUCCACCUUCGGGACGAAUCACUACAUCACUUUCAUCAUGAUCAACCACUAAGGAGCCUUAUAUACCAUAGCAAAAACACCAAAAUUAUUGUCAUUGUAUUAUGACUAUUUUCAGCAAUUGAGAAAUCAAAUUCACGUGUAAGAAAAAUAAAGACCUUGGAAAUGAUAUCAUCAACAAGAGCAAAAUGUGUUUCGCAGUGCUUGCAUCUAUAGAAGUUUCCAUCAAGAUUGAUCAAGAAAAGUCUUCCCAUGUCUCUGUUUUCAUCAAUUUGAGACCACUCAGAAAACAGUUACCCAAUUUCCCUUCAGUAAACUGCCCAACAAUGAUAAAAAGAAAUGAAAAACACCAACCCAGAAAGGUCAUUGAGAAAACAAAGACAACCCAGAUAACAUUUAGACUAGAUAAAUAGAUAAUCAAUCUGAUAAAGUUAAAUUAAGAAAAUGAAAGCAUGCAAAAAGAACAAAAAAGGAAAAAUUUAGUGAAAAUGCAGAAUAUAUAAUAAUAAUAAUAAUGUGAAGGUGAAUGAGAAAAUGGGUCUGAUGGGAAACUUACCAAGAGAGAUUUGAAAAGGGUGUGAUUCAUGCCCAGAACAGGUCUCAGAAAUUUGGAAUUUGUAAAUUACAAUGUGAAAUGAAAGGGUACACUUUGGCCCUGGAAAUGACGACACUGGUUAGUUACAAAGUUUGUAAGGCUCCUUUCUAUGUACACAUGUCUCUGUCCAACUGGGGACUAUGCUAUAUGUUUUAUAUGAUGCACUAGUAGGAAAAAUAUUUUUUAAAAUAAUUAAAAUAAAAUUUCACAAUAAUUAUUUUAAAUGAAAAUUGUAUUAUCAAUUUAAAAUUAAAAUAAAAUAGAUAAAUUUAACAUUUUUCUAAGUGAAUAUUUUUUCUUAAAACUAUUUUCGUAUGAACAUAGUGGUAAAGAGUGUUGCAAUGUGUUUAGACUUCAAACUUUUUAUCUUUAACUGUAAUCAUUGUAAUCCACUCUCUUAUAUAAUAAAAUAGAGUCCUAAUUCUGAUCAAUGGGACACUCCUCAGACACAGUCUCUCAUUAAGCCGCAUCAACAUUUUUUAUUGGUGCAAGGGCGGGGCUAGGUGCCAAAAAGGAGAAAAAAGAGCACGAAACAACUACUCAUUCACAAUCGAGGUACUGGUCGCAUCGGCAAACAAAAGAGGCUCCAACUCUGGCGAAGGACCCUGAAUAACCUGCAGAGCCUGAUUUUUGGCGAGGUUUAAUCUUGACAAGAAAAUCUGCACACGCAUUCCCUUCCCUCAAAGUGUGCCGCAAGUGCACCUCCCAGGAACGAUCCAACAAGUCACGAAUGUUUGUAAUCAAAGAGGCAUACCAAUACUGAGGAGGUGGAGCUCGCUGAAGCCAAAUACCUCCAGAGUCUUGAAAACAACCACCAAACCAACUUGUUGUGGCUGGGCACACACACUACCAUCCACAUUGAGGGCAACAAAAGUUGUCAAAGGUGGUGUCCAAGAAACAACCCUCGGAGCACGAGGAGUCGACGACUAGGCUAGAAAACGAAAGAUCUCCUCCUUCGCUUCCAGCAUGUGGGCUAUGAGGACUUCGAGAGGUGUCUGAUUCUGCUACAUACACCACUUACUUCGAUCAUAUCCCAUGUAACAAGAUGACAUGUCAAACAUAGCCUAUCUAACCAAAUGAAAGGAUCAAGCUCCAAGAAUGCCCCACUCUUAACCCUCAGUUCUCUUGCAGUAACGAAGAUGAACAUCUUAGUGAACAAAGACUGCAUUGUCGUGAAUGUAACUUUGAUUUAAACCAACCUAUAAGCCAUUUUUUGUUGGACUUAAAUUACGAGGCACUCUGUGAGGAAGAUAAGGAAAACCAGCUAGAGAUUCAUGAAGCACAACCAUCAAAGCCUGAUGCCAUACACUUAGAAAUAGAGCAUGAAGAAGAAGAGCCAAUUGAGGACAUGAGAAUUAAUGAAUCAGAAGCAAUUAUAAAUUAUGAUCGUAAAAUAGCUUUUGUUAUAUCAUGUUCUGCAAAAAAGUUACUUCUUUAACUUUGUUCAAAUUUUCUUUAUCACCAUAAGGACGUGUACAUCAAACAAAAAUAUUUGAAAAAUAAAGACCGAAAACCAUUUCAUCUCCUUUUUAUGAGAUUGAUUUCGUUCACAUUUUCUUUUUUUCAAAAUCGCACCAAACCCAUUUAUCAAGAUUUUAUCUUACCCCAACUUCGAACCAAACAACCCAUGAGUACCCCUCUAUUUGGAACUAAAAGGACUCCAAACAUUGCAAUCUUAAUCUUUUCUGCUUAAAAAGGUGCAAUUAAGAUAUGAUUUAUCUUGUUUGUAUCAACUUUGGAUGUUACCUAGCUCAGAAUGUAAUCAACAUUUGAAGGAUUCAAGGCCUCAACUAAUCCAAUCAACAAAUAGGUUACUCACUCUCCUCUUCACAAUGACAAAAUUGAAUAAAGAAUGGUUUUUCCCACCCAAGGGAACAACAUUAAUACAGAUCAGAAGAUAAAUACUUCUUGUGUAGUUCUUCUCUCGCCACCUAUUCUUUGAGGAGGCCACACAAAAACAUUAGGAUCCAACUAUAGAAGGAGAUAAUCCUUCUGGUGGAGUACUCUUGACAGCUCCUAUUCUUUGUGGAGGCCACACGACAUGGGUAACCCUUCCUCGAAUGAGAGCCAAAGGAAUCUGCCAAAAUAAUUGUUAGAAAUAUAAUGUAUAAAACUAUUCAUGCGUCAUUUACCUAGUAGCUUAAACUUUUGGGAUAAUUGGUUCAUGACAAUAAUAUCAGGUUACAAAUUAAAACAAAAACCAUCUCGCAUCAGCCACAUUACACAGCAUAGAAAAUGUCCAUAACAACCAAUCAGUAAAUAUUCUCUGUGAAGGCUAACAAUGCGGUACUUCUAACUUCUUCAAUGAAGAUUAGAGAGUGAAUGCUGCAUGUAAAAAUUAAUUUACAAAAAAUGUUUGCUAAGUGACUAAUACAUUAAUAGCCUAGUGUCGGGGUCUUGCCCAGAUGCACAAACAAGCAUGGCUAGUAAGCAAGUAAAAUGGGAAAUGUAGACUGGUAAGUUGAUCCGGUAGUGAAACUAUAGUGAAAGAGCACUUUGCUUAAAUACACUAAGUAAUGCAAAAUUGCUACUACUAGCCUUUAUUGCUUGAAAUAAGUCAACAAAAUUGAUAUGGACAAAUAGUUAAGGUCCACUAUUCUUGUAGUAAUAGAAGCCUAGCUAGUCAAGUCUCACACAGUAAUUCGUAUGACACUUGAUUUCAUUUGCUCAUGUGUAAUAGAAAUCUUGAGGUUUUUCACCGUGCAAUACUAAAAUAUGUUUGAAAAGUCAUCAUAACCAACUUCAACUCCAAAUCCGCAAUCAAUUAGAGCACUAAAACGAUAAAGACCACAAAAAAUGGUGAAGGUGACAAAACUUUUGAGUUGCAACCAAACACUCAUUUCAAUUAUUGGUCCAUAUGAUACUUCUUUCUUGCUUCAUUUUGCAUAUCACACAACAGUAUCAUGAAAGAACUCAUAAUGGUAAUAGCAACUUACAGGUCCAAAUGAUUUUGAAUCCAAGCUAGAAGCUGCAUUGUCUCCCUCAACCCAACAAUGUCCUUCUGGAAUCUUCAGCACAUCAUAGUUAUGAUGAGCGCCAAUCCAUUCACCAGGUAAUGCAAUUAUUCUCUUUAUGUGUGUCUCCUUGUGAUUCAAUGGGGAGCUACAGAAGUUUCAGAAUGUGCCAAUUAAAACAUCCAAAAAACAGUAACUUAGUUUCAAUGUAAAUUAUGAUAAAACAUGAAUUAUCUGAGUAGUAGCGUUCAAUACCAUAAAUUAGACUCAUAUUGAACAAGAGCCAAGCCAACCAAUGAAAUACAGCUUAAAGAACAGGAGGUUGUUUAUUACAAUAAUAAACUAUUAUAUAUAUAAUAGUAAACAUUCAUAUAAUGAACCAUCCAAAGGCAAAAACUUCAACAGAAAUGUUAUAUUAAUCCAAAGACAUGCUUUGCAACUUAAAACAAUUUCAAGGCUCGUGGUGGCAAGUUCACCUAGCUAUAUACAGAUACCUAAUAAAUUAGCUUUCAGAUAUCAUAUAGCAAAGGAAUAUAUGGCAUAUAAAUGCAAACAUAAUUCAUAAGAAUACAAUACAUGGAAAAGGACAGACAACAGUAUUACCGAAAGACCACCACAUCACCAUGUGAAAACUUGUACUUCUGAAGGCAAAAUUUUUCAACAAAGACAUAGUCAUCUGCAGCACAAACAACUGUCAAAACAAUAAAAUUUGCAAUUCUAAAAACAUUUUUUUACCCCUCUGUGAAGAAAAGUACCAGAAACACCUCCCAUCAAAGAGUGAGUUUUAGGAUUGAAUGUGGGAGACAUAGAGCCACCUCGAACAGGAACAACAGUCAUGUAACGAUCGGACACAGUCACAGAUAUGAGCCCAAAUGUGACAAACUUUUUAGUAAAAUUCCACAGAAAGCCGCUUGGCCCCAUAUGUUUAGGUGCAUAUAUAUGUCAAAAAGUAUCAUCCAUCUGAACCCUGCUUUCCACCUGCCAGCAAUGUGAAAAUGUAAAAAACACAAUUAAAGACCACAUACUGAUACUGCUGCCAACAAAUAUUGCGGCACAGCAGUUAAAAAGCUCCCAUAGUCUCAAUUCUCUAAGAACAAUCAACAACUACAGAAAAUAUACACAGAAUAAGCAAGCAACUAGCAAGGCAGCACUUUACACAAUAAGAAAAUGUAAGUUCAACUUAUAUCAUAAUCAGACUAAGAGUAUACUUAUCAGUUUAACAUAUUCCAAUGCCAAAGCCAAUAAUCAAAUUAACAAAAUUCAAGUAAAUUGAAACUAAGCAUAUCUCCUUAUUUAUGCAUAUAACUAGUGUCCCUCCUGAGUCAUCGCCAAACGAUUACCGGAUCGAUCCCAAGAACUUUUCUUAAGCCCAUCAAGCGCACACGCUUAAGGGUUUGGACGGCUGUGUCCCCUCGCGAGUCGUCGCAAGACAAUUACCCGGUCAAUCGCAUCGUAACCGGUGAAAACCCAAGGACCCAAGCCCAAAAAAUAAUAAUAAUCAAGAUAGGCUACGAUUACCACGGAAGCAAUAUUGAGUCAGGCAUUAAAUCAAGCACCUUAUCGGCACAGAGGCAAAAGGGUAGGCAUCAAAUACCAAACUUGAAUUGAAAUAAGAUAAAGACAAAGAAGGCAUCACUCUAGUGCUAGAGAAAGAGAAAACGCUUACAACAUAAGAGGGGAGAUUACAUACCGAACAACAAAGGAGAGAGGAGAACGGUGCUAUGCUUUAUUGUAGUUAUCACUGUUUAUAACACUUUGACUUGAACUGGACACGGUUUCCUGAAGAGUGUGAUGAGCAACAGCGAAGUGCCCAAGUGAGAUUUGUCAAUAUCAGCUCUAGUAGCCAAAUUGACCCCAAACCCGCUCAAAGGUUGCGAUGGUGAAAAAUAUGCUCAUAAUUUGAUUAAAGAUUUAAAACCAACCUAUAAUUAACUUUAAAAUUAAAUUCAAUAACAAAUAAAAUUAAAAAAUUAUUUAAUAUGUACGACAGAAGUGUAUAAAGCAUAAAUGACAUAUGACAGCAUGAAAAAUGCUUUUCUUCCUUCUACUAGGGUUUUUAGCAACUUUAUUCCUCCAGAGCCGCCAACGACUAAGCAAGUCAGUUUGAGGGCGGUUGGAGCUCUAUGCUUGAGGACAACGUUAUAAGACUUGUCUUUUCAUAUUACCAUAAUAUUGUUUUCAUUAUAUUUCUAUAUAAUUUGGAAUUAAUUGCUUGAUUACGUGAUUAUGUGGGAUGAUGAAAAUAAGGGUCACAUAGGACUUGCGAUGACACAUAAGAGUGUGUUUGAAACUCUCCAACUAUAACUAAAAUAAGACUAUUUCCAUAAUUGGAGGAUGAGUUAACAACUUUAUUCCAAUGAUCAUGUGCUUCAAAGUAUUGCUUCGGUGUCACCUAUUGGGAGGUUAUUGAAAUUUAAUGUUAAUGGAGCAUCUAAAUGUUAGAGCAUCUACAAUGCUAGUUCUAAUUUCUUAGUUCUUAGCACUAUUCAUGUGGGCCCAUAUUGCCACAUGUGUUUAAGCAACUCUCAAGUAAUUUUGCUCCAACCAUGAGUUCUUAGUUCUUACUACUAUUCAUUUGGUCCCACCAACCACAUUAUUUAUAUUUUUUUUCCAUAAAGUAAUAAAACAAAACUCAUAAAGUAAUAAAGUAAUUUGGAUGAGAGAGAAAUAAUUAAUAUUUUAAGCUAAGAACUCAAAAAGCAAAACAUCUUAUAUAAGAACUGAGUUCUUAUUUUUAAGAACUAAGGAGUCCAUGUCAGCACCUCCAAUGGUAAAGUUCUUAGUUCUUAGUUCUUAACUCCAAAAUAAGAACUAAGAACCUUGCAUUGGAGAUGUUCUUAUAUGGGUAUAAGUGGAAUUGGUGUGUUUUCAGAGAUUGCAAUGGUCAUGUGCUGAGUUACUUUGCGAAAUCAACGAGACAUUAUGAGCUCUUGAGACGAAAGUUCAAGUAAUUUUACAUGGUUUCUAAUUUUACCAUCUAUAUAAUUGUCACAAUGUUAUUAUUGAAAGUGAUUCUUUAUUAGCGGUGAGUUGGACGAUGAACGGUGAUAUGAGACCUUGAAAAUUAUCAGUGUUUUAGUCAUAUAGAUUUUUUAAUGUCUUUAGUUUCCUGUAUUGGGGGUGAAGCAUGUGUCGAGGGAGGAAAAUGUAAUGACACAUUUUUUUAGCAAAUCAAAGGUGUGGCAGAGAUGACUCUAUUGGGUGUUUUGUGAUACUUUGUAUUAGCCUACUUGGAAAUGUUGUUCGAAUUUGCUUUCAAUUAACUUUUGUUCUAGAAAGAAAAUCAAAUCUUUAUUCAAUAAUGUACUAAAUUUAAAUUCAAAUAUCGUAUAUUAUACCAGCAUCAUAAACAUAGCUAUCCGAUUUUUAUUAUUCUCAGAUAUUUUCCAACGGCUCCACUGACGUUACAAUAUUCACAGCAUGGACGGACCCAUGUUGGGGCUAGGUGUGGCUUAGCCACACCAGUUUUUUUUCUUUUUUUUUUUUUUUAAAAUUUAUAUGCUCUCAUAAUUGUGUGUUGUUUUCAUUCUAUUUUCUUCCUGAAUGUAUUUGAUAUUGUGUCUGUUGUUCAUAUCUAUCAUGAAAUUAAUGUUCACUCAAAUUAUUGUGCUAAUCAAGUCAUCGAAUACAAUACAUAUAUAAAGAAGAAUAUACUCAAACAUAUAAAUUAUAAUAAACGGCAAAACCUUCACUCAGCACAUUGCAAGCUACUCAAAAAAUUCAUUAGAAGAAAUUUUGUUGUAACCUGCUAUGUACUGCUGUGGAUUUCUCAUGCACCUCCUAUUUUUCGGCCUCCACUAUUAGUGUAGUAUAGAUUGUUGUCUUUCUAUUGUAUUUUCCCUGUUUUAUUGUUCUUGUUUCUUUACUGUACUGUUGUUUUCACUUUGUUUCUUUUGUUAUAUUUCGUUGUAAGCCUAGUCCUUCUUGGACGGUAAACUCUUCUAUUUCCAUGAAAAACUUUCUCUCAUGUAUUAUUUAUAAUAUUUCUCUUUUUCAAAAAAAAAAUUCAAUAUAUUUAGGCUAUAAUUUCUUUAUGUUUAGCCACACUGAUAUAUAAAGUCUGGAUCCGCCCCUGAUUCACAGUGUACCAUACGGAUGUAGGUGGCAUUCAAUCACAGUUCACAAACUCUCUUGAUCGUUGGAUUGAGUUCAGUGAUGACACACGCGCACAAAUGCCAAGUACCUGCGAAUCCUGGUCGUGUCUUUGCAAAAUUAAUUAUUAUUAUUCACCUAAUAAUUGGAAACUUGUAAUAAUUAAUCAUUAUUAAUCAUUCAUUACAAUAUCUUCUCCAAUCAAAACCUGCUAUCGCAGGUAAAAACCAUUCCCUUGUGCACAGUUGACUCAUGUUACAGCAAAGUCUCUCUCCACACCUUACCGGCUGUUCCGGUCACACUUGGUCUUGUUUUGUUCUCGCUUGGAUUCUCCAGAGCUUUGUUUGUGUUUUGUUCUGCUUUGUGUGUUGAAGGUCUUCUCCUCUUUCCUUCAUCUUUCAGAAGGUAAAACCUUUUGCUCUUGUUUUUUCUCUGCUUCAAUAUCUGUUUGGUUCCUCAGAAAAUCUCAAAUUAUCAACUCUGUUGCUUUUUUUCUUUCUGUUUUAUGUGUGUUUGGAUUAUGUUUUUUAGGACCUCAAAAUGAAAUAUUGAUUUUUUUUUAAAGGUAAAUGAAAUAUUGAUGAGUUAGGAAUAUAGAAAAAGAAGUUAAACUUGGUUGUAAUUGGUAGCUUCUGUUACCAGGAUUCUCUUUGUGUGUAUGUGUAUUUGAGAUAUAUGUAAUUGGUCAAAUAUCUGAAUUGAGGAUUAUGUGAUGUUUGUUCAUGUAGUUGUUGAGAAUUAUACCUCUUUUUUUGUAUGAUUUUACCUCAAUAUUCUGAUAUAUGAGUUUUGAAAGGGAAGUCAUCUGAAAGUGUGUGAUUUGUUUGUAUGAAUUUAUGUUGUGGCUACUGGCUACACAAACACUAAAUCAUGAGAAAUUGAUAUUGGUGGUGGAUAUGUGACACUUUGGGGGGAACAGUUAACCCUAAUGGGUGCAUUUAUCCCAAAUUUGUUGAGGAUCUUGUAUCAUGUAUUGGGCUAAUCUUGCAAUGUUAUUGAUCUGCUCUCUCUUUUAUUACUGAAAUUGCUAAUUCUUAUUUUUUUGAUCUUUUUUCGUAAAAUAGACUGUCUUGGUAAGGGAACUGAGAACAUGACAAAGGGAAAGAAAGCUGGAAAGACUUCAAAGGAAGUAUUGAAACCAGUUGAUGACCGGUUAGUUCCUAUAUCUUCACACAUAGUAUGAACUAAUGUGGAUCAGUUUGAUUUUUCAUAGAACUUCACAUGACAUUGUCCGGUGUUGGUUUUCUGGCGAUUUACAUCCUUAAAUAUAGAAGUUCUGUUGGUAUCUGAUUGGCGGAAACAGCUGUUACAGGAAUAGUGUAGUGAUGGAACGUAUAUCUCUAUUGUUUACAGAAAGGUAGGAAAGCGAAAGGCGGCUGUUAAACCCGAUAAGGGUACUGCAGGGAAGGCAAAGAAGGCCAAGAAAGAUCCCAACAAACCAAAAAGACCGCCCAGCGCUUUCUUUGUGUUCCUGUUUGUAUCUCUGUCUUUCUCCCUUUCUGCUAUAGCUCCUUUAGAAAAUUUAUCUGACUUAUUUCCUACUCUGUCAUAGUGAGGAUUUCAGAAAGACUUUUAAGGCUGAAAAUCCUAAUGUAAAGGGUGUAUCCGCUGUAAGUAACAUAUUAAUUGUUCCACUUUGUUUGCCGAUGUAUCCUUUUUGAAUAUGCAUCUAAGUUCUUUUUGUUGUAUAUUGAUUGAAGGUUGGGAAAGCUGGAGGAGAAAAAUGGAAAUCCUUGACUAAGGCUGUAAGCACUUCAAUCUUGGAUGCGUGUGUCAAAACUUGAUCUUUUUAAAUAUUUUACUCUUUGUUAUGUCUUUAGCUGCUUUUACUGAAAUCUACUGUAUCAAUAUAUCUAUACUGAACUCAUUGGAUUGAAUACAUGACCGAGGCUUGUAAGCACUGCAAUCUUGAAUACAUGUGGCAAAACUCGAGUUACUCUUCAUAACUUCUUUAGAUGCUUUUCAAGAAAAAUAUAAGCAACAAUUUUAUAAGUAAAAGCGGUUUAUAUACUGUAAGAAAAUGCUACUUCUACUAAAUUCCAUUGUAUCAGUAUAUCUGCAUUGACCCCUUUGCAUUGAAGAAGGGCGUUAUUCUGUUACUUAUUUUAUCUCUUCUAUUUCAAAUGGAAAGGAGAAAGCUCCAUAUGAAGCUAAGGCUGCAAAAAGGAAAGCUGAGUAUGAAAAACUUAUUAAUGCUUAUAAUAAUAAACAGGUAAGCAUCCUGUACUGGUUGUUCUGUUGUCUUGUGCAUUGGUUUUCUUGUUUAUAUGCUUCACAUGAUAUAUAUUUCCAGGCAAGUACAGCGGAUGAUGUAGACGAGGAAUCGGACAAGUCCAAAUCUGAAAUAAAUGAUGAAGAGGACGAAGCCAGUGGACAGGUAGUCUCGCUCUUCACUUUUUCUUAUACCUUCAUUUUGUUAUUUACUGAGUAUUAACUUUGAUCAUCAUAAGAAAAGGCUUGGUAUAUUGUUGACAAUUGCUACAUAUGGAGUUGGUUUGGUUUCACAUCUAACUCAACCAUAUGUAUGAACUCAAAUCGAAAGUGAGAAGGAAAGCUCUCAAAAUGGACUAAAUGAUAUUUGAUGAUUUCUGUUUAUUCUGAUGGGUUGUGAAUUAGAUCUUUUGAUUCACCUUUAUUUAUGAUUAUAUAAUAGUAAAAUGAAAUUUUGGGAAAGGAUAAUAUGGGGAAACCCCAUAUCUGCAUUGACCCCUCUGUAUUGCAGAAGGACUUUGAAUUGUUUGAUACAUGCAUGAAUCAAUGCCAUUCUAAUCACUUAUACAAAUCGCAUGAUCCAAUGAGUUCUUAUUUCUUUUAUUUCUUUUCUUCCCUGCUUUUCUUUCACCACUUCUCAUCAAAUAAAUUGAAAAAUCAACAAAAAUUUCUAGCAAAGUAUUUGUCCACUGGGUGGAGUAAGGUACAUAGAUCAAAUGGUGUUAAAUAAGCUCAUAUUGUCAAAUGUCGAGAAACUAAGUAAGUACUAUAGAAUGCACCUUCUUUAGUUAUUUCAUUUCUUCAUUUUCAUUCUUCUAAAACAGGAGGUUCACAAAGCCACUCAAUCACUUGCUCACAUAGGAGCAUCACACGAUUACUUGGUCACUCAACACAUACCUAAUUUGACUACCUUAACUCCGUUUUCAUUUUGAAUUGUGACAUAUAGCUUAGAUUUUGUUUUUUUGAGACUUAUGGUUAAGUUGUUUUGUCAAUGCAUGACUUAAAAUUACUACAUCAAGAACUAUUCAUCCUUUAUAUGAUAUAUUUUAACUAUUUUUCACUGUGCUUUUGAAUCUUACAUAUAUGAGUUAUGAUCCGCUAUUCAAAAUUUAACAUGGCCAUUCACCAUUUGAAUCUCAACUUGAUGUCUGGUUUCCUUACCAUUUUCUGCCAUUGAACAGGAGGGCCACCCGGAUGAAGAGGAUGAUGACGAGGACGAUGAAGAUGAUGAUGAUGAUGAGGAUGAUGACUGAGAUUUGUGUGCAGAACUUAAUAUGAUGUUUCACUGGUGGGGGAAGCUAUUAUAUAUUUUGUCUGUGCAUGGUAGGCUACUUUGGAUAUUUGUGCUGGUAGAAAAUGUGUCUUCUGUUACUGGCAUGAUAUUUUGCUAGCUACUUGAGCUUCCCUCAGUGGUUAGUUAUUGUGCUUAGACUCUCUUUCGGUACUGUGCCUUAAAAUGUGUUGGCUGAAGUGAUAUAAUUUCCUUUUUGAUAAAUGCAUUGGCAUAAUUGUAUAUGGUGAAGUGGCAUACUCUUCAUGUACAUAUGGAACAUCGUAUGCAUGAACUUAACCAUUUUAAUCUCUCUAGCUGUCCAUUGAAGUGCUUGAAGCAAAUGCGAUUCAAAAGAGAAGUUGGAAUAACCUCUCAUUUUCUUGUUAUGAUAUAUUUAUACUGAUGUUGCUUUGGG